rnacentral:lncRNA from 1 species
UCUAACGGCUUUGGACAAGCACUUGCCCAACCAUCAAACCCAAUGCAAACUUUCCAAUUGCAAUGGGUUGGAAAGUUAUCUAAGCUAGAGAAGUUGAGCUGGGGCCUUUCAAAUUUUCCCAUUUCGUCAAUAGAGUUGGGUUGCCUACCUCGACUUAGAGAACUCACUUUAUCUAGUAUGGACAAUUUUGACUCGAUAGUUGUUGGACCGCAAUUUUUCAACUUGAAAAAUUUGUCCAUAUUGUGUCUUCAUAGCUCUCCACUGAGGGAAAUUCAACUAGAUGGGCUUGAGCUAUUGAGAAAUUUAGGUGUGAGAGAAUGCGAGUUUCUCGAGCGACUGUCAGUAAUUUCAUCAAGCCUGAGGAAGCUCUAUAAUAUGGAAGUUUUAGAUUGCCCAAAGCUACUUGAAAUUCAAUUUCCCAGUACAAUGGAAUCAUUAGAGGAACUUCGAGUUGGCUACUGCGAUUCCCUGGGAGGGUUGCAUGGUUUAUCAAACUCGAAGAAGCUGAAGGGUUUGCGGAUCUACCAAUGCAAUGGGCUACGGGUUGUUGAGGGCCUUGAGGAACUGGAGCUUUUGGGAUUUUUGUAUCUUUCCAGGUGUGGAUCGUUGGAGAGGUUGACCGAUGUAUCCGACUCAAAAAUACCAAAUGAAUGCAGGAUAGAAGUAUGGGGUUGCAUGAAACUAAGUAGUUAUGAGGGUACUUACCGGGGUUACAAAGAGAUGAUUCUUGUCAUGAUGAGAACGACAUUCAACGAGGUGCACCUUCCUCAUACCCUUCACUUAUUUUUCAAAUUUUCAUUUUUCAGAAAUGCAUGAAGUAGGCAUCACAUUUCCUCAUUUUCGCUUGUUCCGUUUCCUUCCUUGUCUCUCUGUCCAUCUUUCUCUUGCAUGUAUUAAUUCAUACUUCUUUAUAUAAAUCUAUGAUUAUUGUUAGGUCCACUAUUAGUGUAAAAGAAACAUUCAUUAUUUUACCGUCUGGAGUUAGUUUUGUAAUUGAAUUUUUCCAUGUGUCAUUUAUCCAAUGGUGAGUGUGUCGAUUGUUUCUUACACGAGCAGUGUGCUUAAUAAAGAUCCUUUACAUAACUGAACAAUGAUCAUAUUAAUAUUUCGCCAAGCAAAGAUAAAAAUCACACUUCUUUACACUUUUCCUUUAGAAUUUAGAAUGAACAAAUAAAUAUAUAGAAACAAAUGUACGAUUUAUGUAUUAUGAAAGAUUUGAAGUGGUACUUAUUGGGUGAGUCAUGAGAAAAGGAAAAAUAGUGGAAAAAGAUAUACCAGAAACAGAGCUUAUAUGCGAUACCCACUGGUCAACAAUGUUCUACUUAUCGAGCUAUGCAUAACAAACUGUAACUGUGUGGUUUGGCAUUCACCUUAGAAAGGCAAGCAUGCGAAAUGGUACAACACUAUCAUUUGUCAAAAUUUUAAAUAUUGCUUGAUAUUGAUAUUUUUUCUUUUCUAAGUUAAACAGAAAAAUUCGUGAAAAUAAGGGAGAUGCCUGUACAAAACAUAUAGUUUAUGAUAUCACGUACGUCUUUAUCUACUCAAAUGGCAGAACGUAUGUGUUUUUUUUUUUUUACUGGUAGCUAAAUCUAAUCAGAGUGAACUAUGAAGUAGAUAAUAAAUUGUUGGUGGAAUAUGUACAUAGUUAAUAAAUAUAUAAUCAUUAUACUGCUAAAUCGUUGGAUAGUUAUGUUGAGUUCAUCGAGUCCUUUAAUAUGGAUAUUUGCUGGAGAUCAUUAAUAAAGCUAUGGAUUAUGAUAGAUCUGCUAGCACUCGUUUGCGUAAUUAGUUUCCAACGUGACGUGUAAACCAAGGUGUACAAUGUACUUAUAUAUGUGGAAAAUGAUGCAAGUUACAUUAUAAAGAUCUUUGUAUCAAGAAGGUUAAGUUAGAUUAAAAAUAUUUAGCAAUUGUUCAGAUAAAGGGAAUCGACAGUUAAAAAACAUGUAUAUUUAAAACCCAUAUUGACAAGUGUCCUAUUAGUCUAUGAUAAUGAAACGAAUGGCCAUUUGACUAGUAUAUUAUCACAAAAUCGUAUUCUAGUACUUAGUGCCCCCAUUUCUACUAUACAUCAACCAGUUAAUUAUGAGCAAUUCAUUGAAUUUCCUACAUAUUCCAUAAAUAAAAUAAAACAUUCAGUGUACCUCAACUAUGAUAAAAAUCAUUGGAAUGUUCGGACUUCAAAGCAGAUGGAUUGGAUGAAAUUUAAAUUUUCUUAUGCUACAAUAUCAGGAGAAGAGAAGACUGAUUCAUUUUUUCUUGUACUAGGAAGAUGCAAGGGAAACAGAUGCAGAAGGAUCAAUGAUGGAGACCGAAAUCUACUAUCCUCAGAACUCGCCAUUGACUGUAGGGCCUCCAGAACCUGGCGCUGAGCUCGACUCUAGAAGUAAGUUGCUGCUGUUAGAAUGAAUAUACUAUUAAUCCUGUCACACAAAGUAACAUCUGUUAGCUUACGCUACCAACAUACAAGAGCUGAUAGGAAUCGAACUAAUCUUUGGAUGUUUUGCUGCUAUUAGUUUGGAUGCAACGUCAUUUAUUAGCUUACCUUGAUAGUACAAACUAUUCUCGCAGGUUUGAAUGACUUUCAGUCUCCUCCACGAACCUCAUCUGCAGAUGUUUCCAAGUGUUCGUGCUCAAUUCUAUGAACAAAAUGUGACUGAUUCAAGCAACGGACAGAUGAAUGAAUUCACAAUGUAAUUGAGUUUGGGAAUCUUGGGAAAUUGCGAGGAGUAAUGGAGUUUGCUCUAAGGACAUGUCCCCCCUCUUCCAGGUCCAUCAGAAGAGAAACUUAUUAUCGAUUUGUCCAAGGUAAGUAUUCUGUUUUGUGAAAGCCCAUUUGUUUGCCACGUCGAUUUUCGAUGCAUGUGAUACUUUUCUCAAAUGCGCGCAAUAAGAAAAUACUCGGACCGGGGCAAGCUCUAGGUAUCAGUAUGUUCUACUAAUAGGUCACCCUUUUUUUCUGUGCCGUGAGAAGUCAUUUUUAAGCAGUUAAAGAAGAAGACGAUCUAAUUCUCCAGAUAAUCCAGUAUUUCAGAGUCUGUUGCGGUAAUUGUUAUCCAAUUUUUCGGUCAUAUACAGCAAGGCUCUGUUUCUUUUUCCAUUUUGGUAGAUUGAUGGUUCUACCAAAGUUGCUCAAAUAACUAAAGAGUGCCAAAAUGCCCACCAAAAAAAAAAAAAAAUGAAAGAAAAAAUGAAGCUGGAAAUAGACGGUAUCCAGGGCUGUUGAUCGUUAAUCUAAACUAGCUCGCAGUACACAUGAACUUGAAAAUAAAAAGGAAACUGGAAUAAGGAAAGUGGAGACAACAUGCCUCUUGACAAAACUCUCCUCUCUUCCCAGAUGUGGAGGAGAGCUCUAUUGCUAUGUACCACCGAUCGAGUUCCCGCGAAUUGGAUUUUUGGACUUCACUGGAUACAGCAGGCCGCCAAGGGACUAGUUUCGGGUUGAUUACACUGAAGCUACUGUGGAAUGGUUUCCUUAUGCAAUGUAUGGAGAGCUAGGAAUGACUUGCUGCAUAAUCAAGUUGCUCCUGUUGAUGUUGGGAUGAAUCCCCUCGUGUUUGCAGCAAGAUAUAAUAUCGAAGGGUGCAAAAGCUGCUGCAGACAAAAGUUAUUCGGAUUUGGCAUUUACCUGAAGUGUAUUGGUAUGCCUAGCCUUUAAUAACUAGUCUUGUAACAGUUUUGGAUAUUUGGGCAGUUAGUGUUCACGUUCUAGUUGGAGCUAAGAUUGUUGCUUGAGUAGCGUGCUAACGAUAUUGUUAGGUUUGGAUAAAUUAUAGAGUGGACAAUUUGAUGGAGAUCUUUGAUGAAUCAACUUUGAGGAUGGUAGGUCUCAAGGGUUCUUUAUCUUUAUUUAUUUAUUUAUUUUUGGGUAGGUCUUGAGUUUGAAAAGCUGGAAUUUGAUGUAUUUAGGUUUCAUUGAUUCACUAAACAAUGAUUAUCACCACAAAAAUGAUUCUGGUCACCUAUUAAUUAUCACCACAAAAAUGAAAUAUCUUGAUUAACUAAACGAUAAUUCAAGUGGUCUGGAAGAGUUCUGCUGAUGAUUGUAGGGAGAUCGGACCAUUUGAGAAAAGCAAGGGUUGGGAUCAAUUCGUUGAAUUUUGCCGAAACGGACUAGGUAGGAUGGGCAGCAGGAAGGGCAACAUCGUGAGCAUCGAUUAGUGUCGUGAUCAAACGGUCCCAGAUUGAAACAGUUUGAUCCAAAGGUGGGGAACAACGACUGGCUUAACUUCCUUGGCAAGUUUUGCAUGCUAAGAAUGUGAUCAACGCAUUUCCAAAAGUUUAGUUACCCUUCAGACCAUCUAGAUCAUAAGUGAUGAAACUUGAGAUUAGCGGAGGCAAGUGAUCGACUCCAUGCUAUAUCUUGCAUUAGAUCGUUAUCUCGCAACUUCUUCUGUCAUUUAUUAGAGAAAUGCCUAUGUAACAAUGAAUCGGUACAAUGACCUUAUGACUCUCAUAGAAAAGUCAACAAUAUCAUGCCCUAAUUUUUAUCAACUAGGAUGUCACCUACAUUCUUUAAAUCUAUCAGGAGCUUGUUAAACUCAUCUGAGCGGUCUCUGGUGGAGGAGCUUGUUAAACUCAUCUGAGUGGUCUCUGGUGGAAGUAAGUUUAGCAUGUUGAAACCGAAACAUCAUCUUCAACAUAUAUGAUAAUUAUUUAAACCAUUUUUCAUGUAAUGAGCCCAAAAUUUUUCUCAUAACGCCGCGGCACGUCUGUUCUCAACCACUUCUAUUAAAACCUCAUCCAAUGGUAUUAAUAUGAUUUUACUAUUUGCCCUCUCCAUUAACUCAUCUUUAUUGGCAUCUUUUAUCAUUUUCGGCAACUUAGCUUUGCCGUCUAAUGUCUCAUCUCGCUUCACUGACUGAUUUGUUUCUUCCAUUAAACUUCUGAAUUUCUAUUUAUGCUCUAGACAUAGUUGCAACAACAAAAUUUCCAAACAAUGAUUAUACAGGCAAAAACCCUAAAUCAAAUCUAGAAAGAUCCUACACUUAGCUCUAAUACCAAUUAUUGUAAAAUUAAUGCGGAAGCUAAUUGGACCUUGUUAUUAAAUCAAUGCGCGAGCACGAAAUAACCAGAUAAAUCAACACGGAACAAUAAGAAACGCAUGAAGUCCCAAUGUGGUAUCCACUUUAUAGGGAAAUUAGUUGCAACUAAUCAAUCGAAGGAUUAUAAAGUACAAUAGCUCACAUAUUCAAGCGCUUCUCAACCUUAGAUUCCACCUAAAGCACGGUGUUUAGCCUUAUGGAGAAUAACGGUUUAAAACACCUGCAUCUCCGGAAAGAGAACAAGGAUGUAAACUCUUCGCACAGAAAACGAUCACCGUGUGUUCCUCUUCCUGUCCGCGUGGCUAGAAGGGCAACUCCACCUUUUUACUGUUCUUUUUGCGCGGCUGAAGGGGAUGAAAAAAUUAGAACCCACGCCUUCUCAUUUUUCUUCCUCUGACAAAUCUACUGACCCCACAAGUAUAUAUUGAAUAUGAGAGCCCCUUCUUCUUCUUUUGUACGGCCAAAAGAAGUCUCUCCUCCAUCUCCGAUAUAAACAAAGAGCCCAAGAAGUCGAACCUCUCAAACAUAAAUACUCUUCAUCGAACAGAAACAAAAUCAAAUUUUCCAAAGCCCAAAAAGUCCAAAUUUGAUUUGCAUUAAAGCGAACACCGAAUUUGAACAAAUCAAAAUCCUUCGAGGUUUCAUGCAGAUUUCAAAACUCGACAUAACUUAACAACAAAGCUGGUCACUAAGGUACUAAUAAAGGUCUAGCAUCAAAGGGCCCAAGUUGCUGCAGCAGAAAGUUGUUCCCCAGCUUAGUUUGAUGAAGACAUGAAUUUAACUUACCCGUUAGAACAACUCAUCUUUUCCUGUUCUAGGAUGAUGAGAUGGAGAAAAAUCUGGAAGAUAAAAAAUUGAAAAAGACAGCAUUGAUUGUUCCGUAGUCAUAUUACCAUGUAUCUGCAAGCCCUUGGGGCUUUUCCAAGUGAGAAUUCUUCGCAGGCAGACAGGAAAAGUACAUGUCUUGCAGGACAAUGCAGACGUGGUGUCAGGAAAAACUGAAUGGAUCUCUAUGCAUUAUGGUUAAGGGAAUAAAAGCUAAAUCGUGGCUCCAAGGGAAUACUUGCACUCUUCUUGAUAAACUGAUGUGCAUUGUGGUCAAGGGACAAGUUUCCUGGAAACAGGAAUGCAAUUUGCAUAUGCAAUCUACUCUGCUUUGAGGAUUUACUAACUGUCUAUUCGUUGAGAGGUAAGUCACUCCCUUUGUAAAUAUCAGAUUGCUCGCCACAUGCAAGCAUCAUCAAGAUUUUCGACAACUUAGAUAAUAGUUUCCAAUGCAUAUGAUACUUUUAUCUAGGUAAAUGAAUGAAUCUACCAAAAUUUCUCAAAUAACUUACAAGUGCAAAAAACCAAAAAGAGAAAUGAAGAGAAAACGAGCUGAAGUAGGCAACUUUGGGAUAUCCCAAAUGGUGAUCAUUAAAUCAAUAUUGCAUGAACACCUCCAAAAUUUGUCAAGAUUACUAACACGCGCAAUCCUUGACCCAAGCAUUAUGCUGUCACAGAUGACUAGAUCUAAUAGGAGAAAAUAAUAGUCUUUCUUGUGCCAAUAUCUGUGAAGUGGGCAAAACUGAUGGUAGAAGAGAGUAAUUAGUUGAUCAUCUGCAAGCCAUUCUAAUUUCUUCUAAGAUGAGGUUGUAGCAGCAGAAGCAAGGGCAGACACUACUGACUACAUCUUCUCAAUUCUCAAGAGUCCGACAUCGAGCAUUCACUUGAGUUUAUGCAACAACAAUUCUAAUUUCUUUUUGUUUGGUUGACAUCCAAUCGAAUCUUCAAAUCUCAUUUGGCUCUCAUUUCAUUGUUUAUUUUCAACUCUUUUACAGCUCUUGUUUCUCCUCAAAUUGCACAUACGUGGAGCUCACAUGCUUCAGACACAAACUCUUUUGAUAUUUGCAACUAGCCCGGACUACUCAUGCAUACAAUCAUAAGUAGCCUCAUGUCGAAAUAGAAAAUAGUACUCCCAGCAUUCUCCUUUUUCCUUCAGCACUUCACCAUCUCAAAGUAACAUGCAGGAGCACCAUUUGACAUGCACAAUCACAUAUGAACAGGAUUUGAUCCACACAAAUACUUAUGAACAGCAUUCGAUAUCCAUCACCUAUAUAUCUAAGUAGUUCACAUUUCAAUAAACUAUAUACAGGAAAUCCAGCAAAGACACAACCAACGCAACUUCAAUUGGACAUCAAGACGUUGGUAAACAGAAUGCGAUAGGAACUAUGGGCAAUGGAGUCAGGCAUUCUGUCGAAAAGGUUGUGAGCAUGUGGUGUAAACUGUGGAGUACUAUUAACAACAGAAUGGCAUAAGUAAUACAGAACAGAUACACAGAGUGGAAUAUCCAUGCCUACAGCAAUUCUUACCACUUUAAUUGGAAAAGAAACAACCUGGCGGUGAUGAGAUGAUGACACGCACGGCAAUCAUGAGGCGGCCGUUGCUAUGGUUCACGUUCCAAUGCCCCGACUUCAUCUCCACGGAACGCCCCNNNNNNNNNNNNNNNNNNNNNNNNNNNNNNNNNNNNNNNNNNNNNNNNNNNNNNNNNNNNNNNNNNNNNNNNNNNNNNNNNNNNNNNNNNNNNNNNNNNNGAUGGAUUUCGUCAUCGCCGAGCCGUCGUGGAGCAGGAUAUACGGCGGCGGAGCUGAAGACGCAGCGAGGAUCGGGGAUAAAGCCGCCGGAGUCAUCGCUUCCCCAGUGGAAUCGCAAUCGAAGGAGAGAAUAGAGUCGCGGGCGAUUAAGGAGAGCAGCGACGACGACGACGACGAUGGAAGGUGCGUAGCGACCAUGGAACCGCGAGCCAACAUCAAACCGCCGGAGAAACUGGUGCAUGGAGACGUCAGGACACUUGAAUCGGCGGCGACGAUUCCCCUCCGGCGAACCUCGAAACGAAGGAAAAUGGAGCUUCCGGCGAGAGCCCCGACGAAGGAUUUGAGAGUUCUCCAUCUCAGAGCAAGGAUCUACAUUCUCGGUCGCUAUGGAGCGCGGGUUCUUAAUAAAAUAUAUUUUAGCGGGAUUUCUUGGUACAUAAUAGCAUUUCUAUUCUAAAAUGUAAAAAAUGGAUGCGUGUCCUUGAUCUUCUAGUCCAACUUCCCCGAUUCCCACUAUUUCUCGAAUUUCUGCGCAAGUUAGUUAUUAUUUCGAAUCUAAUAGUGAACAUGGAAAAUAUUAAGGGGAAGCAACAACUUAUGAAUUGUAGAUAUGUAUUCAAUCCAUUAUGUAGUCCAUGAUGAAGCACCGUAACAAUAUUUAAGAAAUGCGAUAGUUUAUGAGUGGAAGUUCAUAUUCAAGAUAACUGGCCUACAAUUCAACUAAAUCUUGACAUCUUUUAUACAAGCUAAAUGCAACUAUGUCAAAGGAACAAAGUUCACUUCAUCUUAAUAAGAGUUGGACGUAACAGUGGAUUGAGAUUCUCGACCAUUAGCAAUCUAGUCAUGUUAGUGGAUACAAGCAUCUUUGAUAGUGAUUUACUUUUGUUAGGGGAUGAAAGCCACAUUUCCUAAUGGUUAUGGUGGAAUAAAGUAUAAUCAAGAUUUAAAGCUUUUUGAAUGGUUUGAUAAAAUCCUAAAAUUUGUCCAAAGAGCGCAAUCGGAUACUUCUAGUAGCACCCUUAGUUUGGAGCGACAAAAAAGUUCCAAAGCAACUUUAUGCAAUAUUUAGGGAGGGGUGGGAGAAGGGGGUGGCGCCGCCGCACCUCUAUGGACAGCAACGGCGACCAACCCUCUUGCGGCCACUCACACGAGUACCAUAGGCGUUUCCAUGAGGGCAAUCACCUUAGCAAAAUGGCACUCAAUGAGGCACACCUUUGAUACCACAUCAUCGCCUCACCAAAGGUUCUACUCAAAUAUUAAGUCUUUACACGUUAACGUAUGGGCAAGAAGCUGUUAUUCUUUUGGAGAUAAAUGCCCAAUCCCUGAGAGUCAGGUUAUGGAGUGACAUGUUAAUGAAAGACUGCGAAUAGUCGAUGUAUAUGAAUUUAGACGAGUUGGAUGAAAUUAGAUCAUCAGACACUUGAGCAUAGUACCGGCAUAAGAUCCACUGGUGUACUUAGAAGGAAUUAUUCUGUCUUGGUCGAUAAAUGGAAAGCACCUAAAAAAGUUUCAUCCAACAAUGUGGGAAAUGCAAGACAAGCAGGAAAAUAAAACACAAACCGGCGAGUAAUGAUCAAAAGAAAAUCUUCAUUGAUGUUCUAUUACUUUAGGUCAAAAUCAUUCCUCUACAGUAGUUAUAAAUUUGGAAGGCAUUCCUCCAUUUUUCUUUAGGUUUCUAUAUAUUGGUGCCUGAUGGAUGAAUGGUUCUUGAUCUCUGGAUGUCGCUCAUCACAAUCCUGCAUAAGCACGUCGACUUUCCUCUGCUUUUCCUUCAUAAGCUUCCCUUCGCGAUGAAUGACGGCCUCAUUUGCUUCAAUUUGAUGCUGAAUGUCAGCAAGAAAUGUUUCGAGCCUCUCUUUUCCCUUUGCAAGCUAAGCCGUCUUAUCGAUGGCAUUAUAUGAGAAGUGCGCCGUUCUUUUAAAAGAUCUCUCCCUCAUAACAAAGUUGAACUUGUAGCCCUCCAUAGCUUUCUUCGAUGGCUUUUGACGCUUUCAUUUGCUUUUGCUUGCAGUUGUACCUAAAAGCUUCAAUACCAUCCUCAAAGAGAGUAUGAAAUUCUUCGCACUUGUGCCGAUAUUCAGAAAGAUUACGUCUGUCUUCAUUCUGGAUCAGUUAGACCAGCAGAACUUCAUAUUCUUUUUAUUUCGAGCUCUGAGUCAGAGGCACUGGUGGGGAANNNNNNNNNNNNNNNNNNNNNNNNNNNNNNNNNNNNNNNNNNNNNNNNNNNNNNNNNNNNNNNNNNNNNNNNNNNNNNNNNNNNNNNNNNNNNNNNNNNNUGAGUUCUGUUUUUCUUGGCCAAGGUAGUAUCUCUUCUACUUCUUCUCCAACAAUGACCGUUGACGACUUUCGUCUGCAGGUUUCAACUGCAAUCGAGAGAAAGAUGUUAGAUGGUUAUUAAAGGACGAAAGGGAAGGAAGGAAAUGAUAAACAAAUUUUUACCGAGUCCUGUCCUCUAAUUACUCUUGAGUAUUGACAAUGAUGGGCUCGAUGGGGAUGCAUUAGAAGUUUGAGACACUCCAAACAGAUCAUCCUUCUUUCGCCUUCUCUGAAAAUGAAUCGCCGCCUUUGACAAACAUCCAAUUGGAACAGGAAUUCCACCACCCAUAAAAAAAAUCGUUAUAUGUGGGUUCUUGAGGAAUGGAAUAUGCAUGUACCGAUUAAAUUCAUUGAGGCAGAUGUCGACGUAGUGCAAUGUCGCCUCUAUGCUCAGUCUGUGGAGAGAGGAAAUUUCGUUUGAUAUAUAGUUGGCCUAGGAAUUCCCUGAGCCAACCCAAACUGUUGAGCACAAUAUUUAGGAUGAUAAACCUAGAAACCGGGGAAGAAUAUGUCUCUGUUUGACAAAUUUAAGAGGAUGAUCAACAGCAACCAAGAUGGUCCUCCAGAAUCUUACAAUUAUGGCCGAGCCGUUAUAAGCGUAAAUACUUGGAUUGGGGCAAGCUCUAGGUAUCACUAUAAUAAUUUUCAUGCUUUAGGUCGCGCUCUUUUUUAAGUUGUAGGAAGUCAGUUUUAAACGGUUAAAGAAAAAGAUGACCUAAUUCUUUACAUAAUUCAGUAAUUCAGAGUCAGUUCCUGUAAUUGUUAUCAAUUUUUUGGUCAUAUACCGCAAACCGCUGUUUCUCUUUCCUUUUUUGGUAGAUUGAUUGUUCUCCAAAGUUGCUCGAUAACUAAAGAACUCAAAUAAUAAAGUAAGGUAAAAUGAAGAAACAAUCAAGCUGGAAAUAGACAGUUUUUGGGACUGUUGAUCGUCAAAAUCAACUUAGUAAAAGCUCCUUGAAAAUCUGUCAAAAGAUUGAUGGCCCUGCAUUUCUCAGCCAUAGAUGACAAGACCUAAAAAAAAAUCUGUCUUUACUGUGCCAAUGUUUGCGAAUUAGACAAAGCUAAUGGUCAAACAAAAAUGGUUUGAUGAUAUGGGCAUUUGCACAUUCCAUAAUGCUAGCCAAAGAGCAUUCGUAAUGACUAUUAUUAGAACCUUUGUUCAAGUAAUUCACUGGUAAUGGCAGAAGAGACUAAUUAGAUGAUAUCUGCAUUUUUGCAUCCUACAAUGCUAGUCAAAGAGCCAUUCGAAUUUUCUUCUAGUAGGUGGCAGUGGAAGAGGCCAUUGAAGGAUUGAUGGCAGAUACUCAAGCAAUUUACUGCUAUUAAUUUUCUGUUCUGCUAUCAUAUAGCGCAAUGUACAUCAGCAUGUUUUCCAUUUACUGCUAUCAUUUUGCAGGUGCACCUGCCUGGCACAUCUUUGGAUGUUUGACAAAUGGUACUACAACUUUUUAUCCAGUGCUGAUAUCAUCUGUAGGCCGGUGUGUUGUCAAGCAUCGAUGGCGUUGAACUCCAAUUGAAAUAUGUUCUCCAGCUCCUCUCUGGUCUGAUAUUUCAUUUCAAGUUCUUCUUCAUGAGAUGCCGCCUCCCUUGGCUGUUGUGUGAUUUGGUAUAUGACUAGGAUUCUUCAAAGUAAUUGUAAUGUCACUACCUAAAUUAUGAAGAAAGCUGGCACAGAGUUAAUAGAGAAAUGCCAAAAGCAAGUUAAUCACGGCAUAACAAUGAGAAAUUUACGAAGAUAUCCCCUCCCUAAGGCAUGAGGCAAGAUAUUUGGAGUUCAAUUGUAUUGGAUGCAACAUUUGCGGUUCCUUGAUUUAUGGACUUCAGCCCAGUGGGGUCCUUGAUGUCAGGGAACUAUAUUGAUUGAGUGAUAUAAUCUGAUUACGAACUAGACCUUAAGCUUGGGCCUUAGGCUGAUGAGGGUGUAAAAGCGAAUCCUGCUUGAUUUGUCGAAGCUCAUAGUACAAAUGAACUUGAAAGAAAAAAGAAAGCGGAAUAACAAAAGUGGAAACUGUGAAGAUGAUGCAUUCAUACAGAAGAUUCAACAAUGCCGAAGCUUCUGUUACAGAAGAAUUGAAGAACAGAAAUAGGAAAGUAUAGAUGUAUGAAUCGAGAUUGAUCAAUGAAAAUCUCUGUAUAUACUCUUCUGUAUUUGAUCUCAAUGUACUUCAAGAUCUUUACAUCAAUUGAAAGAAAAGCUCUAUACUCUCAUCACUCUUUCUCUCUAGCUUUCUGCAGUAACCAGAAGAAUGAAUAUCUCAAGAAUGAUUACUAUUUUCCUUACCCCUCUCUUUCUCAUUACGAAGCUAUAUAAGGAAGGUGAAGACUUAACAGAACCAACUAACUUCUGUUUUUACUUUAUAACUAACCAACGACUUUAUGUAUCUUCAUAGAGGUAAUCCGAAUCCGAAUCCGCAAUCCUUGUUUAUCCUCUUUGACUGCUUUUCCAUCGUUGAUCAUCAACUUCAUUACUCUUUAUCUUAGCCAUUCAUUUCUACUGAUUUUCUUCUUGCUUUAUCAGACUUCGCAGCAUCCUCUGUUCUAAUAUCAGCAACAGUUUCAGCAGCACCAUCUGCUAUACCAGCACCAUCUGCUAUACCAGCACCAUCUGCUCUCUGGUGAUAUAUGUUCUUAACAUUCCCCCUCAAAUUGGGAGUAGAUGGAAAACCAAGUCCCAAUUUGGUGCGGAGUUGGCGAUGUGUAAAGUGUGAGAGAGAUUUGGUGAAAAUGUCAGCAAUUUGGGAAUUGCUUGGGACAUACCGAACUGUGAGUGAUCCUGAAGAGACUUUUUCUCUAACAAAGUGAAAGUCAAUUUCAAUAUGCUUUGUUCGAGCAUGUAAUAUAGGAUUAGCAGUGAGAGCUAUAGCUGAUUUAUUGUCACAAAAGAGAUGUGUAGGAGAGUGGAGAGUACAGCCUAUGUCUCGUAAGACAAAGCUGAUCCAAGUGAGUUCUGCAGAAGUGGAAGCAAGUGCACGGUACUCAGCUUCUGUAGAGGAUCUGCUGACUGUGGAUUGCUUCUUGGCUCCCUAAGAGAUAAGAUUGGAACCAAUGUAAGUACAAAAUCCUGUAGUUGACCUUCGUGUUUCUGUACACCCUGCCCAAUCUGCAUAUGAAAAACCAUAUAGAUGCGAAGAACUCUGUGAGUGAAUGAAUAAACCAAGAUUAAUGGUGCCUUUGAUGUAUCUGAGUACCCUUUUAAGUCGAGCAAGAUCUGCCACAGUUGAUGUCUGUAAUUUCUGACACAAUAGGUUGGUAGCAUAGGCUAUGUCAGGUCGCGUUAAAGUUAGAUAUUGAAGAGCACCUACCAAGCUACGAUAUUCAGUAGGAUUGGUCAGAGCAACAGAGUCUUGUUGCAUAAUGAUCUGCUUCAAGGACAGAGGAGUAGUAAUUGGUUUACUUUCAGACAUGUAUGCUCGAGUGAGAAGAUCACUGGCAUAUUUUGUUUGACAUAGAAACAAAUGAUCCGAAUUUUGUUUGACUUCGAUGCCAAGGAAAUAAUGCAGAGGACCAAGAUCUUUCAUGUGAAAUUUGAGGCUAAGAGACUGAAUAAGAACAUAAAGUAUUUGGAAAGAACUGCCAGUUAAAACAAUGUCAUCGACAUAUAAAAGCAGAAGAAUAAUAUGCUGUUGUUGAUGAUAUAUGAAUAGAGAUAGAUCUGUCGAACUGCAAAAGAAUCCAUAUUCAAGUAGAAAGUCACUGAAUUUAUCAAACCAUGCUCGAGGAGCUUGUCGAAGACCAUAGAGUGAUUUCUUGAGUGAACACACAUGAUAAGGUUUCUAUGAAUCUUGAAAUCCAGGAGGUUGUUCCAUGUAAACUGUUUCAUUAAGAGUGCCAUGUAAAAAUGCGUUUUUAACAUCAAGUUGAUGUAUAGGCCACUGUCUCAUUUUUGCUAUAGACAGAACAAUUUUGAUUGUGGCAUGCUUGAUUACUGGACUAAAAGUCUCGGUGAAAUCUAUACCUUCUUCUUGAUGGAAUCCCUUAGCAACUAGGCGAGCUUUCAAUCUAUCAAGACUACCAUCAGAUGCAAGUUUUGUUUUGAAGACCCACUUGCAGCCAAUUAUAUUCAUAUGAUCAGCUCGAGGAACUAAAUCCCAAGUUUUGUUUUGAUAUAAUGCAUUAUGAUCUUCUGUCANNNNNNNNNNNNNNNNNNNNNNNNNNNNNNNNNNNNNNNNNNNNNNNNNNNNNNNNNNNNNNNNNNNNNNNNNNNNNNNNNNNNNNNNNNNNNNNNNNNNCAGAUUUAAUUGUCUUUGGUUCAGAAGGGACCUUAUAUACAGCAAGACAUGCAUACCUGGGAUUCGGUUUGACAAUUCCAGACUUUGAUCGUGUCUGUAUUGAAUGAUCAGAGGUAAUCCCUUGAGUUGCAUGAGAGGUGACUUGCUCAGAUCCACUGGUCGUAUUAUUGGAUUGUGCUGAAUUAGCACCAUCUGUGUCUUGGUUCUGUACUGGUGAAGUUUCUGCACCAUGUGUAUCCAUUGUGGAAAUGUCCUGUCUUGAUUGAUCAGUAUAAGGAAUAAAGUUCUGUUGAGGGCUUUGAGAGUUGAUGACACUAUUGUUCUUAUCGAGUUGCAGAUAAGCUGUAUAUGUAUGAGAAUCAUUAUAGAGUAUAUUAGAGAUUGUUUCUCUAUUUGCUGAUUUUGUUAACUGAACUUCUUCUGCCCACGUCUGAUAUAAUGUUGUAAGAGGUGCAUACUUUGUCAAGCACAACUUAGUGAAAGGGAAAAACUUCUCAUCAAACUUUACAUUUCUACUGAUAUAUAUUCGACCUGUUGAAGGCACAAGACAUCUGUAGCCUUUAUGAUGAUCACUAUAACCAAUGAAUACACAGGUGAGGGAUCUUGGAUCAAACUUAUGCUGAGCAUAGGGUCGUAAACAUGGAUAACAAGCACAACCAAAUACUCUGAGGUGAUCAUAGGUUGGCUCUUGGUGAUAUAGUUUCCUAUGUGGUGAUUGCAUGUCCAAUCUCGGUGUUGGAAGAAGAUUGAUGACAUAGUUAGCUGUAAUAAACGCAUCAACCCAAUACUUCAGUGGAAUUCUGCCAUGAUAUAACAUGACAAGACCUAAUUCAACAAUAUGCCGAUGUUUCCUCUCAGAUAUCCCGUUCUGUGCUGGUGUAUAAGGACAAGAGAGAUUUUGUUUUAUACCACAGUUUUGCAAAUGAGCUUUAAACCUGUGGCUAAUAAAUUCUCCUCCUCCAUCACACUGAAAGACCUUGAUCUUUGAUUCAAAUUGGUUUUCUACUUGCUUUUGAAACAUAACAAAGAUCUUAUAGAAGUCUGACUUCAACUUUAAUGGAUAUAUCCAGCUGUAUCGAGAGAAAUUAUCCACAAACAGAACAUAGUAUUUGAAACUUUGAAAUGAAGUCACAGGUGAUGGCCCCCAUAUAUCACAGUGGAUUUUCUGUAGGGGCAUGGUUGUUACAAAUUCAGAGGAUGGAAAUGGUAAAGCUGCAUUCUUAGCAAUUUGACAGCUACUACAAACACUCAACAUCUUAUUGCUACAUUGAAUGAGUUUUUGAUUCUGCAAAUACUUCAAGAUAUUCAGAUUGGUGUGUGCUAGUCUUUGAUGCCAUGUAUCUUCUUCUACUGCUCUGUGUUUCUGAGCUAGAAGGGCUUGUGUUGUUUGUAAAUUCACUUGAUAUAGUCCUUUAGUUUUCCUUCCGAGCAGCAAGGUUGUGUUGGUCCAAUUGUCCUUUACAUAUACACCAAAUUUGUCAAAGACAAAUGAGCAUGGGUAAUCGUUUGUUAAUUUGGAUACUGAUAACAGAUUUUUCUUUAUAUCAGGGACAAUUAGAACAUCAUUCAGAGGCAAUAAACUUUCUUUAGUAUGCAACAAUGUGUUACCAGUAUGUGUAAUCGACAAAUGUGAUCCAUCACCAAUCAUGACAGUGUCAAGUCCAGUGUAUUCAGAGGAGUUUUGAAGCAUACCAGGAUUGGCUGUAAUGUGUGCAGUUGCACUGGUAUCUGGAUACCACUCGCUGCCUUUGGCAUCCUCAAGAUGUAUAGCUGCUAAAGCUAUUGGUAUCUCCUCAGCUUGCUACGAAUUAUCAAAUCUGUACCAGCAGUGCAAAGCAUCAUGGCCUGGUUUCUUGCAGAUUUGACAUUCUAAUUUUAUGUUGUUAACUGGUUUCUCAUCUUGCACAUUCUUGGAAAAAGUUAGAUUUGAAGGAUAAGAUUUUAUUUCUUGGUAUCUCUGUGAUGGACCAGCAUAGGGACGAAAUCCAGAAGUGAAACCAGAUUCAGAAGAACUGUAAUAAGGUUUGGUUCUCUGAUUCUCUUGCAUAUAGCUGACAUUGCUAAACCUGUAACCUGAGUUGUCUCCAGGGUAUCUGAAUCCACGGCCUCUGUUAUUAAGAGAACGUCCUCUUCCAUAAUUGUGGCCUCCUCUGUAAUUACCUCGUUGAGCAGCAAAGCUUAAAUUUUGAGGAAUAUAUCCUCUAUCAAUAGUUUCUUUGAACUGAGCUUGAGGAUAUCUUUGCCCAAAGUAAGCCAUAUUGGGGUUAAAUUGUGUUCUAGAGUAGUUCUGCAAUCUUGACUCGAACCUUUCUAAUUGUGCAAUUACCUCAUCAUACUCCGGUUGAGGUUUUAGAUAGUAUAUUGUUGUUCGAAAAUUUUCAUACUCAGCUCCUAAUCCUUCCGGUACACCAAAUAGCUUGGUUAUAUCAUCUACCGGUUUCCCAAUAGCAUUUAACUGAUCACAUAUUCCCUUGUAUUCUCGAAGAUAGACUAGAAGAUCUCGAUCAUGUUUUUGACAGCCUUGGAGUUUCCCCCUCAAUUCAAACUCUCUUGCUGCUGAUUUUUGUGUGAAUCGAUUCAAGAGUGUCUGCCACACUUCAUAAGAUGUUUCUAAGCCAAUUAUUAAGCCUAGUAUAUUCUCAGUUACAGCUCCACUUAUCCAUGAGGAUACUAGCUGAUCUAUUUUUAUCCAGUCAGUAUAUUCUGGAUUUACAACCUCAACUUCAACACUUCCAACUACAUUCUGCAGCAUUCGAGUAGGUGGUGUAACAUCACCAUUAACAAAGCCAAAGAGUUCUUGGCUUUUUAGAAACCUACGGAUUUGAGCUUGCCAUAAAAGAAAAUUGUCUUCGGCAAGUUUUAUGGUGACAAAGUUAGAAAUAUUCACAUGUAUAGGGAAAGGCUACUUCGAUGCUCUUAUUGCCAUUGCUAUACUCUUUCAAUUAUGGACGAAUCAAGAUAGCAAUUUUGUUUAUGAAAAGCUAACUGAGUUACCGUGAUACAGUUAUCUGUAUAGCUUCAGAUCCUUCUUCCUUGAUCAAACAAGUAGCUACUGAGUGAAUCCUCUUUGACUGAGAUGAUCGUCUCGCUUUGAUACCAUGUGAAGAUGAUGCAUUCAUAUAGAAGAUUCAACAAUGCCGAAGCUUCUGUUACAGAAGAAUUGAAGAACAGAAAUAGGAAAGUAUAGAUGUAUGAAUCGAGAUUGAUCAAUGAAAAUCUCUGUAUAUACUCUUCUGUAUUUGAUCUCAAUGUACUUCAAGAUCUUUACAUCAAUUGAAAGAAAAGCUCUCUAUACUCUCAUCACUCUUUCUCUCUAGCUUUCUGCAGUAACCAGAAGAAUGAAUAUCUCAAGAAUGAUUACUAUUUUCCUUACCCCUCUCUUUCUCAUUACGAAGCUAUAUAAGGAAGGUGAAGACUUAACAGAACCAACUAACUUCUGUUUUUACUUUAUAACUAACCAACGACUUUAUGUAUCUUCAUAGAGGUAAUCCAAAUCCGAAUCCGCAAUCCUUGUUUAUCCUCUUUGACUGCUUUUCCAUCGUUGAUCAUCAACUUCAUUACUCUUUAUCUUAGCCAUUCAUUUCUACUGAUUUUCUUCUUGCUUUAUCAGCCUUCGCAGCAUCCUCUGUUCUAAUAUCAGCAACAGUUUCAGCAGCACCAUCUGCUGUACCAGCACCAUCUGCUCUCUGGUGAUAUAUGUUCUUAACAGAAACAACGUGCCUCUUGACAACUUUCUUCUCUCUUCACAGAUACAGAGGAGAGCUCUAUUGCCAUGUGCUAUUGUUCGAGUUCCUGGGAGUUGGACUUUUGGAAUUCACUAUAUAAAGCAGCCAGUAAGGGACUAGUUUCAGGUUGAUUAUGCCAAAGCUAGUGCAGAAAGGUUCCAUAUACAAUCUGCGGAGAGCUAGGAGUGACUUGCUGCAUAAUCAAGUUACUUUGAAUGUUGAUGUUGUGAUGAAGUCUCUUAUGUUUGCAGUAAGUCUAGGCAUCGAAGGGCUCAAGCUGCUGCAACAAAAAGUUAAUUCUAAUUUGGCAUUGGCCUUGAGUUUGUAACUGGCACAUUCAAUGUAACGGAACAUAAAUUGGUAUGCUCAAUCUUUAGCAACUAGUCCUGUAACCGUUUUGGAUAUUUGGGCAGUUAUUAUUCAUGUUCUGGUUGGAGCUGAUGUUGUUGCUUGAGUAUUUUCCUAGUUGUCUGUCGUACUCAGCCGCCAGCAAUGGUUUGCUGAACGCGAUCACCUCUUUGUGACUUGUACUGGAUUUGGCUUCCCAGCAUGGUUUGAUGAAUAAAUGAAUUUAAUUUGCCCAUAAAAAGACAUGUAUUUAAUAAUAUUUUCGAGCUUGAUAGGGACAUACAUCCUUGUUUGAAUAGAGACAUUGCGAAAGUCGUCCUUUUGAAAAAGUCCUUAAAUCCACUAUUUAUCAUGGUGGCAGGAGUCCCUCCUUUAAUCUAAAUACGAAAAUGAAACGUGGAUAUAGGGAGCGUGGGCACAGUAAGAGAAAAAUGGACACCAACAAUUUUGGAAAUAUUGUUGGUUUUGGAUAAACAAUAUUGAGUAGAUAAUUUUGGAAAAAAUUCAUCUAUAUGAUGAAGAUCUUUAAUUAAUCAACUUUCAAGAUGGUAGGUUGUCAUUUGAAAAACUGGAAUUUGACAUAAGGAGGUUUCAUUGUAGGAUAAUACUUUUUGUUCAUACCAUCAUUGGGCCAUCCACUAGCGUUGAUGUAUGGAAAUAUCACGAUGUAUACCAUUUAUACAGUAUAUAUAUCCUCAUCUCACAUAAUCAUGAAUUUUAUAUAAAUGAGAUUCAUACAAUAUGACAUAUAUAACAUGCUCACUAAGUAAUUUCUUCUCGGAGAGGAGUUAUAGACUAUGUAGGAUGGCUCUUUUGUAUAUGCACCAAAGCCUGAGAUCAACCCUCAAUACUUCUUUGACCACUUAAAUAUAGUUGCUUAAUUCAUGUAAAAUCCUUCCCUGGAAGCAGCUUGACUGUUUAUGUAACUGUACAAACCGUGCCAACCUCCUUUUUCACUUUUGCAAAAAGAAGAUAUGAUCACGUAAAAUGGUCGAUCAAAGGAAAAAUUAUCCUAUGUACUUAAUAUAUGCACUAAAGUAAAUCCAGAUUGCCAAAUUUGGUGGACCACCGGUGAUUUCAAUGGUCCAUAUUCAGUUUGAUAUAUAUACUGCGCUCAUGUAAUAUAAUUUCUGCAAUCAGAGAGCCAAUGAUAAAAGGAGAGUUAUCUGUGUUGGUUUCAGUAUUGCAAGGAAAUUUUCCUCUUUGUCCAUGUCCGGAGUAUAAUUUGUUAUGAGAUUUCAUACCACAUUAAUUUAUUUGUUAGUUAUCAAGAAAAUUGUCCAAAAAGUUAUAAAUCUAUUAUACGACAUUCACGUCAAUGAUUUUCAGCACUAUGAUUUUCUGGUUUCUUGUCUUUUUUUAUUUUUUUGAUGAGGUGGAUUUGUGAGGGAAAAAUGAAUGUUUGUUUCCGUCCCUUUCUUUUUAACUAAAACCAUGAAACGAAUUGUGAUUAGGACAGGAGGGCAUUUUUGUUAGGCAUUAAAUAAAAGUAAAAUUCUUCUUCAUAUUUUUCGUCAAAAUUUAUAUCAUUAUGGGUAAUUGUUUAGAAAAAUAUUUCUUCUUUUAUUAGUAUUAGGUAAUUGUUUAUGAUCUUGUACAACCCAAUGCAAGUGCAAUUUGUAUAAUCUAAAUUUUGACAAGAUUUGAAAGUUACUCCCUUUUCCAAGUUCCAAUUUAGUUCGAACUACGCAGGCAUCAUUUUUAUAAAGGGUCAUGCUUUUCCCGCUUCUCAUUUGACUUGUACCAAUCAUUCCGCUGUGUUCUAACCAUAUUAACCCUUGCUUUUUCAAAUGUCAGCAUGCUCAAACGUGGUGCCCAUUGGUGUUUCUCUUUUUUAUUUGUUUGGUCUUCGUCUUCAACUUUCUCCUCCUCCUUAGUCCGCCCAAGCACAGUCCAUUUGAGUUCUUUGUAUUGUUCUACGUUCUCUUUUUUUUCCCGUCUCUUUAGAAAUCUGGCAAUUCUUGUGCGCCCCGAGCUUGGAUGAGAAAAAUCAUACCGAAAGUCCAUUCCAUUAUCAACAUGACUUGAAGCAUCACUACGCCAAUCUUGCACAUCAUUAGCCGUCGGAGCCACCGAACAUUGAGUUUGCUUAUCAAUGCUGAAGCCGGAAAAGUUGCUUGAGUAAUCAUCGAUAUUGACGGAGUGCCGAGGAUCCAGCCAAUCAGCGAACUUGGAGCAUCCUGGUANNNNNNNNNNNNNNNNNNNNNNNNNNNNNNNNNNNNNNNNNNNNNNNNNNNNNNNNNNNNNNNNNNNNNNNNNNNNNNNNNNNNNNNNNNNNNNNNNNNNNNNNNNNNNNNNNNNNNNNNNNNNNNNNNNNNNNNNNNNNNNNNNNNNNNNNNNNNNNNNNNNNNNNNNNNNNNNNNNNNNNNNNNNNNNNNNNNNNNNNNNNNNNNNNNNNNNNNNNNNNNNNNNNNNNNNNNNNNNNNNNNNNNNNNNNNNNNNNNNNNNNNAGGGAUGAACUUGCAUCAAAAUUGAUGUACUCACGCAUGUGAAGGCUGAUGUCAUAUUCAUAAGGAUGAUGUCACCCAUGUCCAGCAGUAUAAAUAUAAUUAUUAUGUAAUCUUAAGAUUACGUAUAAUUGAAUAACUAUACUGAUGUAAUCUAAAUCUGUAUGUGGAUGUGAAAUGAAACUUUUAGGACAAGAUUGUUUUUACCAAUCAAACUCUUAGUGAAUGUUCGAAGUUGGCCAUCGAAUUUCUACUUAUAUUCAAAUUGAUCCUAGUACAAUGUUUUCUUUUAGGGGGUCUCUGACUCUCCAUGGUCAAGCAAUUUUAAUUGGUUUUCCCAAAGAGAGCUUACAUGGCAGCAAUUUUUUUUCCCUGAUGGAGAAUGCAAGAAAACCUUUCUUUGCAGUUAGAAGGCAACUUUUUGAGCUAUUUAGAGGUCUACAAGUACAUGUCAUCUUCAAAGACAAUACUUACGAGUGUUGAUGUACGCUAUUUAGUAAUCCAUGAUGCAAUGGAUUCAGAACCUUUAGAAGAAAGAAUGUUACUUAAAAAAAUAAAUAAGCUGGGCAGAACUUAAACUUAUUUAUAUUUUCUAUUGUGUAUAGAUGUUUUCAAUUUAACUUAAUUUACAUGUGAAAGAAAAAAGGAAAUUUGCUCUAGAAUCCAAUUUUAUGCAUUUAUUAUACCACUAAUUUCCUUACAACAUAUCUUUAGGUUAAUAUAAUCCAAGACAAAGACAUAUUUACGAUUUUGCUUUUGCAAUAUUUCCCGGGAUCACAAGCAUAAUAUUAUGACACAUUUUCUUCCUCUUAUCAAUAUUUUGACUCUUAAAUUAUUGUAUUAAUCUAAGAAGUUACAAAUAUUAUUAUUCAAAUGAUCUUCGACUCUUCCUUUGAAUCACAUUUCCAUUAUUGUAGAUUACUCAUGAUUGUAAACUUGUAAAUAAAUACAUGUUCAAGUGAAGUCUGCAUCAAGUAACUAACAAACAGACCAAAAAAAACCAAAAAGAGAGCUAGUGUGGUUGCUUGAGCAGUUUACUAAUCAAGUUACUAAUCUGCUAAUAAUGGUUUGCUGAAUGGGGUCACUCGCUAUGGGUUUGGCUAUCCAGCUUAGUCUGAUGAUGAACUGAAUUUAACCGGCCCGUCCAAAAAACAAGAAAAAAAAUUGAAUUUCGGAAUAUUUUUCGAGCUUGACCAGGUCAAACGUCCUUCUCCGUUUACUUUAAGCGUCGCAUGCCGAACCAGGCCAGCUCCGAGCAGGCAAAAACCAGAGCGAGACACAGAGAACUUUUGCGAGAGAAGCCCCCCAAAAAACAUGGCAGCAACCGUUGGUUCCAGCGCGUCGGUGACCCAGUACGACGUGUUCCUGAGUUUCAGAGGCCCCGACACUCGCGACACCUUCACCGACUACCUCUACCGGACCAUGAUCGGCCCGGGGAUCGCCACCUACAGAGACGGCGAACCGCUCUUCUCGAGUGGCAAUGCUUCGAGCGCUCGGUGCCUCCGCGAGCUCGCUCGAGUGACGGAGCUCGACGAAGCGUAAGUAAAUGCUUAUUAAUGGACCUUUUUUCAAGCGUCAGCCGAAAUGCUAUUCUCUUAAAGUUCUUGUAAAUGGCAGUGAAAACUAGCUGGAGUGGUUCAAAAAUUCGACAGGAAAUAUAUUGGUCGAUGCGUCAUAUGCAAACCGGAUUUUGAUAUCUGAGCAGUAAAUUUCAUUUCUNNNNNNNNNNNNNNNNNNNNNNNNNNNNNNNNNNNNNNNNNNNNNNNNNNNNNNNNNNNNNNNNNNNNNNNNNNNNNNNNNNNNNNNNNNNNNNNNNNNNUAUAAUAAAACAAAAAUAAAACAGAGACAAUUCACCAAUUCUCAUACAUAAGCAGUGCCAUUAUGGCUACUGAUAGUUACAGGAGUGAAUUGGAUCUUGUUCUAGAAUGAUGUCUGUAAUCUGGACGGCAAAGAAGCUUCUUCUUUCUCAGUAAUAGGGGGAAAUUGCCGGUUUAUCUGGGACUUGAAAUAGUGAUCCAAGUCAAAUGCUAUCUGCUAGGAAGUAGUAGUGAGAUUGUUAUUUGUUUUCUUUUACUAAAAGUGUUUGGUUUGCAGCAGAAACGGUGAAGCCAUUGAGCACGAUUUGAAACAGGUUGUGCUUAAGCUGAGUGGAAACAAAAGACCUCUUGGCAGCACAUUUUUAAGUUGGGAAGUGGGUCAGACCUCUGGGGUAGACGAUAAGAGUGUCAGACGAAGGAUCACCUCAUGGCAAAAGGGUGAGAUGUUGGGAAGGGGGUCAUUUGGAGAUGUCUAUAAAGGCUUCAGCGAGUAAGAUUCCUUUGCUUUUCUCUUUGAUAAUCAGUAAGUUAUUCUUGCUAUAAGCAUUUUCUGGGGAAAAGUACAAUCGGACUUCUCCCAUUAUGAUGUUCACUUGCAGUUUUGUUGCAUUUCUGAGUGCUGCAUUCUGUGGUUGGAAUUAGGAUGACUUCUGUAUACUGUAGAACGCGUUAUCAUUUGGUUGACAUAAGGUGCCUUAAAUAGACAUGGCAAAUGGUUAUUCAAUUGCUUAAAGUGCUCGAUCUUCAUAUUUGGAUUGGAGUUCUAAGAUUAUUGGUAUUUUCCUUAUUGAAGACCAUUCUUGAUCAUCAAACAAAUUGAUGAAGUACAGAUCUAGUACAUUAAAUCACGUAAGUUUAGUUGUCCAUUGUUUUUCUGUACCGUUACUAGCUUGAAUAAUGAGCAAUUCUUUUGUUCUAUUUUCAAAAAAUGGAUAGCAUGAUGAAUCAGCAUGUAUUUAGAAACCAUUAUUCUAUUGUAAAUUCAAAUGUUGAAAGCUAGGGAACUAUUUUAGUUAUAUUGAUGAGAGCAUCUCUUUUUUUUUUUCUUCUUUAUAUCAUCUGGAGUGCAAGAAUUAUCUAAACUAUGUCUGAUCAAGGCAUCAUUCAUGAAAGAAUUGGCAUUUAUAUUCUGUCUUUCUCUCACGCUUCUCUGUUUCCACAGUGAAGGAUUCUUUUUUGCUGUAAAGGAGGUGUGUUUCUUAGAUCAAGGAAGCCACGGCAAGGAGAGCUUGUCGCAAGUAAAAGCUUUUUCUUUCUGUAAUUUGUCAACUGGUCGCUAGGCAUAUACAACCAUAAAUCUGUUGCGAGUUAAUAGAUUUUAUUUUGACUCUUUUUUUAGUGAUGCUCUGCUUUCUUUUCAGGAAAUUUCUAUUUUAAAUCAGCUUCAACAUGAGAACAUAGUUCAAUAUUAGGGCACUAAGGAGGUGUGUUCCUUCUUUCUAAGUUGCUUUCUGCAGUAUCUUUCACUUUGGCUUCGAUUAUGAUACCACCGGAACUGAGCAAAAUGUUUAGGUGGACAUGGCUGUGAUCGCAGCCACAAGAUAGUUGUAUUUCCAUCAUCACUGCAUGAAUAAGAUCACAGCAGUUGCGGCCUUUUAGCAGUAACGGCCUAAAUGACAGACAGACAUUUUAGGUCGUCCUCCCCCCACAAGAAAAGUUUGUGAUGAAUUGACUAUCACCCGAGAUAGUAAUUAUAUGACUAAAGAACAUACACAGAGUAGAGGUCAGUUUAUGGAGUCUCCCUCUCUCUAUGAAAGCAGUUUUUUCUCUCCCAUCUAAAGAGAGCUGUCAUGUAAUCAACCCUUUCUUUUCUAGUGGUGGAUGAUAUACAAAUUAUUUAUUUUGCAAACUGAAGAUUCAGGUCAAACUCUCAGGACUAAAAAAGAGGAAUCUGAGGCUUAGAGAAAUGGCAGCCUCGGCUAAUAAAACAUAAAGGGAAAAAGGAUAAGAAAAUGAAGUCAUUUAAUUCAUUAGAUAUCCUUUAAUUGACCAUCUGAUACUCCACAUGACUAAAAUGCCAACCUCCUUUCCCUUGUCUAUAACUGGUUGUGGCUGUAGCAACAACAAUGGAGUUCCUCCACAAGCCCAAUUUUUCCUUCAAUUCUAGUCCAGCAUCAAUUAGUUCCACUCAUUUUUAUGCAACAUCAUAGAGUUCUUUACCUCUGCAAGUAGAGAAGACGGAAAUUGGAAAUGAUCCUUGUUCAAGUGAGGGAUAUAUAUCCUUCUUAGUGGCUUUAAUGUUCAAGUACCUUCCAGUAAUUCUUUUAUAAACAUAGUUUCGCAAGAAGCAUCAGAUUCUGGGAAAGUGCCAUGUCGUAACUUCUUGUUGGACAUGAAACGUGUCAAGCAAAAUUUGGUUUGCUAGACCUACAAUCUACUACAUUUUGUGGGAAUGAGGGAUUAAUGCAACAUGACUUCUUCUGCCAGGUGCACUAUGCAACUGUUUUUGUUGGCACUGUUGCAAUUUAAAACCAUGGUGACUUGGAUAUUUGUGUUUUAUGAAGAAACCAACAAAAAGAAGAGCUUGGUCCCAUGCGUUCUUGCCUUAUUUUCCUUUUAAGUUCACAAAAUGCUUUUAAAUCUGGUGUAGAUUUUUACUAAAUUAACUCCCAUCAAAGAGAUUCUCACUAAACGCUGAUUGGUUAUUGAGAAGGUACUCUACCAAAGUGCACUUCAGGAAGCAUAACCAACCUUAGGGCCUUGUCUAGGGGACUCUUGCCUUGGUACAGUUGAUUUCUGUGGGAGUGGUGUUGAGGUGAUCCAAUGAUUAGUUAGGUGUUAUAAGAGGCCUAGACAUCCAGCUUCAUUAGGAUGAAUAAAUGGUAAACAUCACUGAUGUAGUUUAUUUCAUUUUAUUUUGCUUUUUGGUAUGGUUGUCUCUGAUGAAUCUUGUUAAGAUAUCCUAUAUCAUUAACUUAUGGGGGUUUUGAUAUAUAUCAUCAGAGACAACCCAUACCAAAAAGCAAAUAAAAUGAAAUGUUUAGACUCCUCUCACCUAAUAAUUUAAUCUUUUGCGUUCGGAAAUGGUUUCAGAGCCAUGUUCUGUCUUAAUUUAUUUCUGUGCGUGACUCCUUUUCAUCAAUUCUGUGUGCACUUCUCAGACCGGUUUUCACUUGAGAGGUCUUAAAAUAUUCAACAGUGCUUAUUUAUGUGUUUUCAAAUACAUUUCAUCUUCCACUACUUAGUAACUUAAAUUUUGGGUUGGAUAUUCUAACAUAUAUAAUUUUCUUUACUCUCUUCUAGGAUGAUAAGAAGCUUUACAUAUUCCUUGAGCUCAUGACUGAAGGUUCACUUGAAACACUUUAUCGCCAAUAUAACUUGAGUGAUCUCCAAGUCUCUGCAUACACUAAGCAGAUUCUAAAUGGUCUAAAGUAUCUUCAUGGCCAGCAUGUGGUACACAGGUAUAAGAAAGAUGCUCGACCUUGCUUUAUUAGCUUUUACUAAUUGAAAUGAUGAUUUGCACUUAUCAAUUCUGAUGGAAGGUUGAUUUUGUUAAGGAAAGAAUUCAUAACAAAACAAAGAGCACAGUGAAACUUAUAUUUUUGUUUCAUGGCUCACCCGCUUGGUGCCUUUUGAUGAUACUUAUUUUUACCUACCCAAAUAUCAUUCUGGAAAUAAGGGAGUCGUCCAAUCCUUGAACCAAUAUGUAGUGUCAUGAGAAUGAUUUUGUAGAGUAGCUUAGACAAGAUUAUCUUACUAUGUGAAUGCUUGAAGGUGGAAAUGUGAAUUUGCAAUAUUGGUAACUGUGCGGGCGAUUAUAACUGUUUGUAUAUUCUAGGCACGGCUAUGCUGAAUUCUCAUGCUUCCAGUUCCUCCAAUCUGUAGGGAUAUUAAAUGUGCUAACAUAUUGGUUGAUGCAAGAAGUUGUGUGAAACUUGCAGACUUUGGAUUGGCAAAGGUAUGUCUCAUCAGCGAAAGUGAACUCUCUCUCUCUCUCUCUCUCUCUCUCUAUCUUGGGGGGCUCGCACAUGUGCGAUCAACAAAGAUGCAUGUACAGCUACAUGCGUGUGCAGGAAUUUUCACAGGCAUUGAAGUAGUGCAGCACACAUACAAUUGGAUGAGUGCAUGACAAACACACGUAUAGACAUGCACAAAGUGACAUAUAUUGUCCUUUACUUUUCUAAAAUGACAUAUCAACUUUCUGUGUUUAUUCAUACAGGUAAUCAAAAAGAAUGAUGCUAAAUCCUCCAAAGGAAGUCUUCGUUGGAUGGCACCUGAGGUUUGCACCGUCUGCUGCCAUUUUUUUUGGCAUACUUUAAUUAGUUGUGUUGCAUGGCUUUUACUUUUCUUUCAUCCUUGUUGGUUGUGAAUGCAGGUCGUCAAUCCAAAAAACAAAAGCUAUGGAUCGGCAGCUGAUAUUUGGAGCCUAGGGUGCACUGUUUUAGAGAUGUUAACCCGCCGGUAUCCAUAUUCCCACUUAGAAGAAGUAUGUAAUUAAGAACCUUCAUUUCAUGUUUUAUAUCCUUGAGAUCUAUGUUUUGCCAGAAUUAUUAACUAGUUGCAACUUUUUUGUUAUUGCUACAUUUUAUGUGAGCUUGCUAAGUUAAGCGCAUGUUGUGACGAGUCAAUUCGGCCAGCAUUCUGAGAAAAAGAAAAUGAGCAGGAGCACUACGUAGAGAAGAGAGAGGACAGAGAAUUCAAUGAUAUUUAUCAAGAUUAUCGUAAUGUCAAAGGAUAUGCAUAGUAUUUAUGGCCAACAGUUGCUUGAAACUCUGGAGCAAAUGGUUAUGUAACAUGGUCUGAAACCUCUGUUGAAUGUCUGAAUUCUUGACUUUCUCAUUUAAAUUAUUUGGCAUNNNNNNNNNNNNNNNNNNNNNNNNNNNNNNNNNNNNNNNNNNNNNNNNNNNNNNNNNNNNNNNNNNNNNNNNNNNNNNNNNNNNNNNNNNNNNNNNNNNNGCAUAAGUUUAGAUAAUCUCAUACUGACAUCUGUAUAUAGUUCCCCACCAAUAGAUAUGGGGUAUGCAUAUAAUCCUAACAUUCAGGCUCAAAACUCUCUCCACCUUCUCCUUCAAUGUCACAUGGUACUUGAGCAGCCGAGAGAGACUGAAAUCCUAAUAUUGGCAUCGCAAUCUGUGCUCCAGAGCAGCACUCACAGUGAUUGCUUCAUCUUCCCUAGUGUGUCCUUUAAUUGUGUGGUUGUCCUCUAAUCUGUCACUUGCCACUAUCAACUUUGGUGUUUCUGCCAUUGCCCUUGAGUGUUGAUCCCUCGCUGCUCUUCUUUGGAUAAAUUGUUGACCUAAAUGGUUGUCUCCUCUGCUAGAUUUUGUCACUUUCGAUAUUAAUCGUAAAUUCUCCGUACUUGUAGUAAGGUUUCCAUCUGGGAUGGUAUUUACUGGCUCUAGCCAGCAAAUUACUUUAUGAUGUUAUCCCCUUUUUAGGCAUGACAGCAUUGAAACGCCCUUUUGAUGAUAGAAUGGCUGCUGCUGAAGUUUGGAGUGCUCUUGUCUUCCUAGUGAAUUGCGAACGUUGCACUGCUCUCAUGCUCAUUUUGGAUUUAUUUAUUAUAAUGGAGAAAAAAAAUAAUACCAUCCUACUCAAAGCCAUUGUAAAAACAUGCAACUAACACCCCUUUUCUUUUUUACUUUCUUUCUAAUUUAGGACACUAUAAAUUUUGAGCAAAAAGUAAUAUAUACUUCUGCUUUAUUGGGAGCAGUUGGAAAACAUUAAUGUUGUUGGUCCUUGUGAACUGUUUACCUGUCAUCCAUGGUCUCCCACUUAAGCAAUAACUGUGAUUCUAGAACGAUUUGGUAGAUGAUUGCCUGAAGCAUGAUGCACUUAUAUUUGUCUACAUAUCUUAUUGAUUUAUGCAGCUAUCACAUGUUAGUUCCCCCUGGAUUUAUGAUUAAUACUAGCCUCUGCCACGUUCUCUCUCUUAUUGUGGCAGGCGCCAGCAGUGUUCAAAAUUGGCCAGGGUGAACUUCCUCCACUUCCCCCUUCUUUAUCAAGAGGUGCAGAAGACUUCAUCUUAAGUUGCUUGGAAGUAAACCCGAAUAAGCGGCGUUCUGCAGCGCAGUUGCUAGACCAUACCUUUGUGAGGGAGCCACCUACUCCUGGUUGUGCCUCACCUUGUUUCAACAACAUGUUUUGCUAGGCCAUCCCUUUUGGUCCAUUGCUGAAGGUAAUUUUACACUUUCUGUUAUUUUGCUGUUGCAUCGCUAGUGAGAGUAUUCUUCUUUUGGGCUAAUGGCAAAAUAGCUUCAUUAACUUACCACAUUUCUACUGUUUACUCAAUAAAUUUAUAACUUUUACUGGUCUGCACUAAACUUUUAACUUGGAAUAAAUAGUCCGCAGUCUAUGUUCGGUUUCCCAAUUCACUUACAAACAUUUCACAUUUUACCGCUCUCUCCAUAAGCUUUAAUGUUUCCACCAGAUCGUCCUGAACCUCUUCGACAUAGUUACUUAGGGGAGAAGUAGGUGAAAUUAAUCAUCAAGCCAUGAAAACAACCAUAAUUGCAGUUUCCCUUUGCAUAUAUUAGAACUUGGGAAAAUUGACGGACCUCGUGAAUGGUCUUGACAUGAUAUUUACAAUUCCCAGAUAAACAGCACACUGUUUAAUCAUUACGCUGGACAUUCGGAAUGGAGAAACAGAAUGCAGCAAUAUUUAGGUUUCUCUGGUGUUGAUUUUAUCAUAGGCUUUCCUCUGCUUAAAUUGUUGUUAGUGCACUCGCAAUGCUGCUGCAAUUCUUUGAACCGCUCAGUGGUCAGCGGCAUAUUGAUAACCGGCAAACACUCCCAUGGCAGCGCCAAGCUUACGAUGUUAUGCUUUCUUUUUGCCAGAUGGGAGUGCCUUUGGCAGCGAGGGCCAUCUAAUAAAUCGGAGAAGAUUGUGGUACCUCGCAAAUGGUCUUGGGCUGCAACUGAUUUUAUGGCGUCUUUAUCCUGCUUGCGUUAACAUCUUGUUUAUCUGGGAAUUGUAAAUAUCAUGUCAUGUUGUAUAUUUCCCAUUGGAAAGAAGGGAAGGAAACAAAGAUGUUGGCGAUACGACGGCAUCUCCGAUGACAAGUUUUCUGCUUUUACGAAGCGUAGAUAGGUGCACAGAACUUAUACAGGAUUUGUAAUCAAUUAAAGAUUGGAUGCGCUUGAGAUUCGCAAUGGAAGGGCGCAUUUUGUUUACUUUUUAUUUGUUUGAUAUGGGACCAUGUUUGGUAAAUUCAAGUGUUUUUUUUUUUAUUAAUGACGUGUCGAUGAGCGCUUGUAUCGUAUUGAAAAUAUUGCAUGGACAAAGGUUCGGUGAUGCAGGAGCAAAUUCGACAUAUAGGAGAGGUUUAGUCACAGCCUGCUGCCUGGACACCUUGGUCUGCUCCCCUCGGUCGCUGAAAAUAGUUUUCGUGAUACCGCUGGUCACAAGCACCAAUACGAAGAAAAUUAACUCUUGUUUGAGAACUCUUGAGUUCAAAUGAUAUCAAGGUUUCUUUCGACAAAAAAAUUAAAAAAAAAAAAGAUAAUAAAAAGGCUGAACUUAAUCCUAAUCUGACCCUAAUUACAGUCCCAUAAUCACCGUGCCACUGCUUGAUCUCGCCCCCACAAAGCCGUAGCCGUUGCUCCAUAUCGACACCUCCAUCAGCACGUCCCUGUCAUCGCCAUCCCCAUCUCCACUUGAUCAUUCGGCCGUCAGGAUGAUUUCGCUGUUUCACAUCUAUCAAUCACGGCCCCUCUUUCUGGUUUCUGUCGAUCUCUGAAAUUAAGAGCUUGAUAGUGGAGUUUUACUAUGUUUCAAUCCACUGUAAAAAAUUUUGACAAUUAAGGCACCCUUUACUCCUAGCGUUUAAAAUCAACCCUUAAAUUUCUUCAAUUUGUUGGAUAUUCUCACACCAUGAAGUAAUCAAAGAUGCUCUAUUCUCAGAUCAUGUCUAAAAGCAAUUCUCAGAGCACAAAAUACCCUACUAUUGCUUUUAUUGUACAUGAAGGUGUAUUCCAAGUUGGAAGUGAAGAUUGCAUAUGAAGAAACAUCCCUUCCGGCAUUAUGUCAACUCACUUGAACCUUAGAAUUGGUGCGUCAAGAAUUAGAUUGUAAUGCCUCAAAUAUGGCUAUAAAUCAACCCUGCAAAGUUUGACAGGAUGGCUGAUUCAUUUUGAAAUGAUGGCGAGAGGACUUUUUUUUUUUAUUUUUUUGGUAGGAAGAAAAUUUAUUCAUUUAAGUAGAUACUCUGAAGUGUCCCAAACAAGGUGAAUCUAAACAUAAGAGAGCCCAUAGGGCUUGCGGGGGAACAUAAAACCAAUUCUGUGGAAGAGAACCAAGAUACUUGUGUUUAGCAAUCCAAUCUUCCACUACAUUUGAGGCCCGCAGACAAUGGGCAACGCUGAUUGAGGGGUGGGCCUUGAGAAAUUGAAGACGGUCAUUGAUUAGGAGACGUUCUUCCCAUCUGAACUGAUCUACAGCCCCACUUAUCAAGGUUUCAACUAAAUCCACGCGAUUAGAUUCUAUAGUUAUCAGAUUUGGAGAGCUCCAAGUACGACUGGGGUUUUAGCUUGAGAUGCCGAGGAGACCUUCACUGAUUUAGCAGUAACAAUCGCUCCCUUGUAAUCUCGACAUAUACCAGUUAUGGCGCCAUCCACAGAACCAUCAACAGAGGAAGCAUCAACAUUAAUUUUCAGAGCUUUGUUCCUAGGUGGCGCCCGGGCCUUCAACUCAGCAAAGGUAGGAUUUUUCCUCGAUUCCGAUUUUUGCGAGUUCCAUUUUCUGUAGUUUGCUUGCAAGAAUAACGAUGAUUCAACCGUUUCUUGUGAGUUUAGAUGUUUGCCCUGAAAAAUGAAAUUGUUUUGGGCUUUCCAAAUGCUCCAUAAAGAGGACGCCACCAAAGACACGGGAAAAAUCAGCCCCUUCUACGGCAAAUUCCAUUAGCCAUGCCUUAAUCCUCGUGAUCUUCUUGUAGUUGGUUUGGAUCUUCAUAUUACUGUCAGCCCAGAUACCUUGAGUCGAGGGGCAAAGUAUAAAGAUGAGCUCGAUCUUCUCCUUUUCCCGUUGAUAGAGGGGGCAUAUCGGGUCAGGUAUGAUAUUCCUCUUCCAUAGGUUCUCUUUUUAGGGGAUUGCAUUUUUACAAAGAGACCAUAGGAAAACUUUACCUUAUGGAAGGCCUGCAUGUCCCAUAUAGCUUUCCAAAGUGUUUUGGGAUUUUGGUAUGAAGAGGAAGCUUGUUUAGGAUUGCGCUUCUGUUCAAUCUCUUUUCUGAUCAUGUUGUAGACGUUUUUAACAGCAUAGCUACCUGAUUUGGUUCCUAACCACACCAAUUUAUCCUACGCAUAGUAUGCUCUAACGGGGAUUGUUUGAAUCUCCUGCACUAAUUGCUCAUCAGAAAGAUCCUCUAGCUUUCAAGUAUUCCAUUUUCCUUCCUCAGCCAAGAUCAGUUUUGCCACCAAAACUGGGUCAUUUCUGUUUGGUGAUCCCCCAAUUAAGCCACUUUUUAACCAUUUCUGCUCUCUGAUUAUUACUGAUUUACCAUUCCCAAUGGACCAACUAACUGAGUUGGCAAUAGGAUCCCUCCCUAAUAACAAACUUUGCUGUCCCCAAGAAGGCUUGGAACCUCUUUUAGCUUGCCAAAAAUCUCCUUGAUGAAAGUAAAUGCCUUUUAAGAACUUGUUCCAGAGAGACUUAGGAUUCUAUGCGAGUCUCCAUGCUUGUUUACCAAGCAUGGCCUUAUUAACUGAUAUAAGAUCUCUAAACCCCAUGGCCCCUUGGUCCUUCCUCAGCUUCAGAAUGUCCCAUUUUUUCCAAUGAAGUAUUGUUUUGAAAUCUGUUGUUUUCCACCAGAAAUUGGCAAUCCUUCCCUCAAUUGCUUUGCAAACUGAAAUAGGUAUUUUGAAAAUCGACAUAGCAUAGUUUGGAAGGGCUUGUGCCACUGUUUUAAGAAGAAUCUCCUUUCCAGCUUUAAAAAAUAAUUAUUCCUUCCAACCUUCUAAAUUAGCAUUUACUCUUCCAAGAAUCCAAGCAAACAUAUUUCUCUUUAACAUGCCCUAGUCCGAAGGAAUACCUAAGUAUUUGCCUGUGUGGCCAAUCUCAACUCCUUUGCCAUGUUUCUUGUUAGUAGAUGAGGACGCCCCUUGCUAAAAUAAAUGCUUGACUUGUUUAAGUUUAUGGCUUGGCCUGAUGCAUAACAAUAUUGAUUAAGUAUCGUCGAAAUAUUCUGGCAUUCCGUUAUGGUUCCAUCUAAGAAAAAAAUCGAAUCAUUAGCAACCAAAGGGGGUGAUAGUGUCAGAUUGAAUCUGUUCAGUUUGAUAUCCUUAAUAAUUCUAUUUGCCACUGCUUUAUUUAUCAUGAAAGAUAAAUAGUUAGCCACAAGAAUAAAAAGGUAUAGUGAGAGAGGAUCUCCUUGCCUAAUGCCUCUUGAGGGAUUAAAAAAUGGGAGGGAUUCCCCAUUAAACUUUACACUGAAUGAGACAGUUGUCACACACUACAUAACCCAAGUGAUUCACUUGUCUUCAAAACCCAUUUUGAUCAUACAAGCUUUUAGAAAAUCCCACUCUACUCGAUAAUAGGCUUUUUGCAUAUCUAAUUUUAAAACCGCUUCAAAUUUCUUUUGUCGAUUAUUGGUUCUCAACUAAUGCAGGACCUCUUGUACAAUAAAAAUGUUGUCUUGUAUUGGCCGACCACACACAAAGGCAAGGCACUUUGUUCUUCAACAAUCAAAUCAGUAGCCACAUCUUCAGUCUAUUGGCUAAAAUCUUUGAAAUAAUCUUAUAAAUAAAAUUGCAUAGGUUGAUUGGGUGGUAUUCUUCCAGCUUUUCUGGGUCAGGAUCUUUGGAACAAGAGUUAUAUGGGUUCUGUUUAGCCUUGGGUCGAGAAUUCCUGUUGCAAAGAAAGACUGGACAGUGGUGAGCACAUCCCUUUUUAUAAUAUCCCUAUGGUGUUUAAAGAAUAUACCAUUCAGCCCAUUUGGUCCAGGUGCUUUAGUUGCUCCAAGCUGAUAACUGCCUUCCGAACUUCUCCAUAGUCACUUCAGCAGUAAGUUUUUCAUUUACUUCAGUUUUGACUAAACAUGGGAAGUGGUCGAUUACCAGGAUAAUAUUUCUUGGCCCAACUGAGGAAAACAAGUUUUGAAAAUAUUAUGUUGUUCGCUGCUUCGACAUUUUUUCAUCCCUAAUCUACUUAUCAUCAGGCCCUUUCAGUAUGGUCAUUCUAUUUCUAUUGCGGCGCUGAAUUGUAAUAGUGUCUUGUCCUCCCACUUAUACCAAUUGACUCUUGAUCUUAAUCCUUAGUACAUCUCUUCUCUCCUCCAAAUAUCCUUCAACUCUCGUUUAAUACUUUGCAUUUUAUUCUUUUCAAAGGAAGAGUUUGAACUAUUUGUAAUUACUUGAAGUUCCUGGUUUAGCUCCUUUAUCAUACGAGAAUUGUUGGUAAAUUUCUGUUUACUCCAUAACUGUAAUUCCUUAGUCACCCUUCCUAAUUUCACCACUAUUUUCUCAUCUCCAUCAUCAUCCAUAUUCCAGGCUUUGGAUACAACAUCUAGACAUUCAGGAUCUUCCACCCAGAAAGCUUCAAAUUUGAAAUCCUUACCUUUUUUCGCUGGCUAAUUCACUAUAGAAAGCAGUAAAGGGCUAUGGUCAUAUCCCACCGUUGGUAGAGCAUAGGCCUCCGCUGCAGGGAAUGUAAGACUCACUAUAAAUUGCAAACCACUCGAUCUAGUUUUUCCUUCACAUAAUCAGCUCCUUCCCUAUUGUUUACACAUGUAUAAGCACGCCCCUUGCAAACUACUUCCAUCAAAGAGCAGUCAUUUAGACAAUCCCGAAAAGCAACUAACGAUAAUUCUCUGCCAUUCGUUUUCCUUCCCACAGAAGGCUAUCAAACCUGCUUACUUGCCUUAAUCUAUCCCAAAUAAGUAGUCUGUCUUUAAAAUCAUUUGGGGCAUGAACAAAAGAAAUCCGCAUUCUGACCUUAUCAGCAGGAACAGUAAAUAAGACGUUAAUCAUCUCUGUUGAUGCCUAUUCAACAUCAAACGAUAUGUCAUCAUUCUACAAAACAGCAAGUCCCCCUGUAAUACCGAUCGGUUUCACAGCAAAACAGAAAUUAAAUUUUAAUCUUCAUGGCCGAUGAUAGUACCAUUAUACACUUGGUCGCCUUACUGGCUUUGCCCUACUGUUCACGAAUGCUUGUCAAGCAAACGACUGUAAUGUUUGGACUUUAGGACAUGUUGAAUAGAUCAUAUUUACAUUUUCUUGUCCUCAAAUAUAGGUAGAAGACUAACUCGUCUUUUCCUGUUCUAGGAGGAUAAAAUGGAGAAAGAUUCAGAGAAUGAAAAAAGGAAAAUGACUGAUCGAUUGUUCCAUAGGCAUAGUACAACGUAUCUGCAAGCCCUUGUGAUUUUUUCAAGAGAGAAGUCUUCGGAGGCAGACAGGAUAAGUACAUUGUCGUGCAUAAUGAUGCAGACAUGGUGUCAGGAAAAACUGAGUGGAUCUCUAUGCAUUAUGUUUAAGGGAAUAAAAGCUAAAUCGAUGGCUCCAAGGGAAUACUUGCACUCUUCUUCAUAAACUCAAGUGCAUUGUGGUCGAGGGAUAGGUUUCCUGGACAUAGGAAUGCUGUUUGCAUAUGGAAUCUACUCUGCUUUGAGGAUUUGCUAACUGUCCAUCCGUUGAGAGGUAAGUCAUUCCCUUUGUGAGCAUCAGAUCGCUUGCCACAUUUGAUACAUUUAUCUCAGUAAAGGAAUGAUUCUACCAAUUUUUUUCAAAUAACUGACGGGUGUAAAAAACCAAGAGGAGAAAUGAAGAAAAAAACAAGCACAAGUAGGCAAUUUAACAGUGAUCAUUAAAUCAAUCUAGCACGAGCUCCUCCAAAAUCUGUCCAGAUAACAAACACGUGCAAUGCUUGGUCCUAGCAUUACACUGUCACGGAUGACUAGAUAUAAUAGGAGAAAGCAUUUGUCUUUCCGUUGCCAAUGUUUAUGAGGUGGACAAAACUUAUGGUAGAAGAGACUAAUUAGAUGAUACCCGCAAGCAAUUCUACUUUCUUCUAGGAGGAAAUUUUAGUGGCAGAAGCAAAGGGCACAGACUACUGACUAUGUCAUCUCAAUUCUCAAGAGUUUGUUCAACUAAUUUUAGUUCCACCUUCACUUUGCCGGCACUGCGUCUGACCUCUUCUGGUAGCGCCGCUCUCCAGAUUUGGCUGUCGAUGGCCCAACGCAUUCAAGGCUGCUGUUAGCAUAUAGUUCGUCCUUGGCUGUCAUUAGCGGAGUUCAUCAUUGGCGUCACCCGACUUCGCUCAUCUGUUUUUAUUUGCUUGAGCUCGCAGUUGAUGGCCAUUGGGAUAUCGAGCUCGCUGUCAAGGCUUGCAGCCACGGAUGAGCCACCUCACGAGCCAUGGACGAGCAAGGCUUGUGGAUGAGCCAACAUAUUUGUGCAUGCGGUCAUGGUCAUGUUGGGAGGUUAGAAAUGAUCCUUCUUUUUCCUUUUUGUAUGAACUCCAUGUGGUUGUAUGUGGUCGGGCCUCAAACUCAAUCUAUGCGAGAAUUUCCCCUCCUGCGAUGCUUUUCCGUUUGGAUAUCUUAAUUCUGGAAAAAUUUUGCUUUCCGCUCCUACACUUUCACGAAUUUUUUUUUAAUCAACUUUUAAUUUUUCUAACCAAAUUUUUCCAUUUGCACAAAUUAAUUAAUCAAUUAUUCCAAUGCCAAAUUUGGGGAUGCGACUGUUAGACAACAUUAGAGCGUGAUGUGGGCAUAUUUUGUCAAUGUUGAUGAAUUCUUUUCUUUUCUUUUCCUUUUUUCCAUGGUAGCAUCUAUGUCAACAAAAUGUCCUGAUGUUGUUAGACGAUUAUAGCGGCUAAGUUUGGCCAAAUAUGGCGUUGGAAGAUCUUCAUUGACUAUUUGUGCAAGUAGAAGGUUUUUUGUUAGAAAAAUAGAAGUACCAGGAUUUGAUUAGAAAAAGCAUAGAAGCAGGGGACGAAAACUGUUUUUUUUUUUUUUUUUCUUUUUUUACUUCUAAUUAAUGACUAUUUCAUUGGAACGCUCUGUUUUUAUUUCAAGAUGGAGCAAACAUUUUUAUUUCGAUAGAGCUGUAUUUAGCUCUACAAGAUCAUGUAAAUGGACCACUUGUCCUGAAUAUUUACCUACCACUCAUAACAUGUCACUCUCCUUGAAUAUCGUCAUAUUGCUUCGUUAGGCAUUGCGUAGUUGCCUGAAUAUGUAUUUACUACUCAUAAACCUGUCACUUCUCUUGGAACUGUACUAACGAAGGAAGAGAAUUCUGCUUGAUUCAUCGCAUUGGUUGGGCCAAGCUUGAUAAAUACAAGAAUUAUUGGGCCUUAUAAGUAAGAAAAAAGCUCAUGGAGCACACUAACUUGUGGAUAAGCCCACUAUAAUAAGCCCCGUGACCUCAUUCUACAUUAUACAAAUGUCCUUUGGCAACGUAUGCCUUCUCUAUCUUUAUCCUCUCCUUCUGCCAAAACGAGAGGCUAAAGAUAAACGUCCGACCACUUCUUUUUUUAUUGGCAGUGCGAAUUCUUCAAAGCAUUCGGGUCUGUUACUGUCCAGUUGCGGAUCCGCACAAUUCGUGCAUCAACAAAGCUUAGUCCCACUAAUUAAAUUUUAUCAUACUGAUCUACUCUUCUUAAUAUUUUCUUCACAUAUCAAAUUAUGCAAUAGGGCAUGCCAUAUAAUGAAGAACUUGAAACAAAGACUUAUUUAUGUUGACACUUGCAUCAUCGGGUGAACUUCUAUCCAAUGACACCAACAACUUAGAAUUUGAAUGGAUCUGAAUUUAUAACUUAACUACGAAAUUUCAAUAAAGUUUUGUAUUCUGGUUUAUCGGAUAUUGGGAGCACACACGUAGCUCCUAUCUCUCUCUAUUAGAGUGCGUUUGGCAACGAUUUGGCUCCUAAGAACAAUUUUUGAUUAAAAAUGAUUUUUUUUAUUAUAUUUCCGGCAACAAUUUUUGAGCAAAAGAGCGUAUUUGGUAACUGCAUAAAAUUUUUAUUCUUAGGAUAGAAAUGUGUUUGGUAGGAUUGUAAAAUUUUUUUAUUAGGUUCGACGAGGCUCGACGUCGCCUAGGCGGCACGAGGUCGGCCUCGCCCUAGCCUGGCAAGGCCUAACCGGCAAGGUCACUAGCCCUCAUCUAGCCAGUCACCGGUCAUGGCCGAGGCCGUCGACUGGCCAAAAGGAAGAAGAAGAAAAUGAAAGAGAAGAAGAGAAGAAAAUAGAAAAAAAAAAAAAUUAGACUUGAUUUUAAGCAUUAUUCUCGGAAUCAAGAUGCAACUUUUCUUUACUUUUUGAUUUUAUUCCAAAUCCAUUUUUAAUGAACAAAAAAAUUUUAUUUUUGUUCUCGGAAAUAAAAGAUUUACCGAACGGAAUUUUGUUUUUUGUUUUUUUUAUUCCUGGAAAUACAAGAGUGGAAUCAGUUGUUCACGGAAUGUUAUCAAACAGCCCUUAGUUGCUCCACUCACUCCGUAUUUUGUUCUUCCCUUUUCCUCUCUUGCUUUCCGCGCUAGUCUCUCUCCCUUAUUUUAUUCUCUUCUUUACGCUCCCCUCUCUUUUUCCUACUCUCUCUCGUUUGCUUUCCGCGCUAGUCCCACAUGUUCCCCUCCUUUUGACUAAACUCUCUCCUUCCUUUUUCCUCCUUUUUUUCCUCCUCUUUUCCCCAUUGAUGUUGUGACGAAGUUUCUUAUGUUUGCAGUAAAGACUUAGCAUCAAAGGAAACGAGCUGCUGUAGCAUAAAGUUGAUUCUAAUUUGGGAUUGACCUUAAGUUCUAAAUGGCAAAUUCAGUUUACCAAAACGUGACUUGGGGUGCUUGGCCCUUAGUAGCUAGUCCUCCAUACUCUUUGCUAUCUCCAUUAUCUCAUCUUUAUCAGCAUUUUUCAGCAAUUAGCUUUGCCAUCCAAUACCUAGGUCAAACCUUGGUUAUUAAUAGCACACCCAUCCCACUCCACCGCCCAAGCUGUUUCUCCCGUUAAACUUCUCAAUUUCUAUUUUUGUUCCACACAAAAUUAGAAUAACAGAAUUUCUAGACGACGAUUAGACAAACGAAAGCUCCAAAUCAAAACUCGAUAGAUCCUAAUCUUAACUUUGAUGUUAAUUGUUGUAAAAUUAAAGUGGAAGCCAAUUGGGUCUUGCCUUUAAAUCAAUGUGAGAAAAUGAAAUAACCCAAUAAAUCAAUAAGGAAAAAUAACGAUUAUAAGAAAUUUAUGCGGUUCGAUCUGAAUUUUAUUCCAUAAAGAGAGUGAGUUGCAAAUGAUCCACUUCACAUGUUCAAGUUCUUCCCAAUAUUAGAUGACAUUUAAACCUGCGGUAUUUUGGCCUAACGGGGAGUUAACUCAUAGCUUGAAACGCCCGUCUCCAUAAAAAAAAAUGGCCACACCUUUUUUUUUUUCCUCAAGAGUAUAUAUGGCCCCUUCUUUUGUACGGCCGAAAGAAAUCCCACCUCUGUGCGCAAUAUAAACAAAAGUCUCCAAGUAGUCAAAAAACUUACAUACUUCUCUCCAAUUGAAAGCAAAAUCAAGUUUCGCCAAAUUUAAACAAAUGAAAAUCCUCCAAAUGGGUCGGUUUCUGUACCCAACUUAAAAUGACGAAGCGCAUGCAGCUUCCUCUCUCUUUCCCUCAAUUGCUCCGCUCCCUCUAUUUUCUUAUUCCCUUUUCCUCUCUUGCUUUGUGACGCUCAUUCUCUCCCCCUUACUUUCUUCUCGUCUUUACGUCUCCGUCUUUUUUCCCUGUCUUUCCUUUGUCUUCUUAUGCCCUCAUUUUCUUCUUCCGUGUCCCACAUGUUCCCCUCCUUUUGACUAAGCUCUCCCCUCUCUCUCCUUUUCCCUGUUUCUCAAUGAUUAGACCUCGUGUCGACGUUGUGACGAAGUCUCUUGAGUUUGCGGAACGACUUAGCAUUGAAGGGCACAAACUAUUGCAGUAAAAAGUCAUUCUGAUUUGGGAAAGGCCUUAAGUUCUAACUGGCAGGUUCAGUUUAGACAAACGCGAAUUGGUGUGCUUGGCCUUCAGUAACAAGUCCUGCAACUGUCUUGGAUAUUUAGGCAGUUACUAUUUAUCUUGUGGUUGUUGCUCAAGGAGUUUACUAGUAAUAUCUGUUGUACUCAGCUGCCAAUAAUAAUUUGCUUGAUUUUAUGUAAAGUUGGUGCUUUAUUAUGGAAUUAGGCCUAAAAAAAUUAUGCUUGGGAAUAUUUUUUGUGCUUGACAGGGACUUGAGUCUUGUCUGAACGGGGACGUUUCGAGGGCCGUCUUUUUUUCUUUUUUUUUUUAAAUUUAAGCAUCGGAGGUUGAUCCAGGAACGUCCAUUCUCGCUUUCGGGUGAGGGGUCAUUUCAAGGAAGCAGCUUCGAUGGAUUCCUUGAAAUCAGUACGUGCACUCACAUGAUUUCUACUUUUUAACACAAUCGAAGGCACAGCUCCAAGUCAAGCAAACACCAAAGGGAGACGAGAGACCUUUUGUGAGGGAAACCCACAAUAACAUGGAAACAACCGGGGGCUGCGGCGUCCGCUUCGAAUUCUCCAGCAAGGCAAAUUGCCGAUGGCAAUUAGGUGAUCAAUUUUUCAAAUUUACGAGAGUGAGUGAAAAAUAAGUUACGAACUUAUACUAUAUUUGUCCCAACAUGCCGAUGAGCACUUGUAUUGUAUGAUUGUACUGACAAGUGACAACAAUCAGGUUCAGUGUACACUCAGACAUCUAGGAGGGAAGGCUCUUGGGAACAAUAGUGGUGCUUUUUUUUUUUUUUUUUCAUUCUUGUUUAAUUUAGAAUUUUUUUUUUGCGCAAUGUUUAUAAGAGAGGUUUUGCUACAGCUUGCUGCCUGGACACCUUAUUACUUGAAAAUGGUGUUCGUCAUCCACUGGUCACAAACACCAAUAUGAAGACCUAAUUGCACUUAGAGAAAAGAAAAAGGCUCAACUUAGUAGCCACCGCCUCGUCAUCGCCCCCACAAGGCCGUAGGCACGUCCCUAUCGUCGCAAUCCCCAUCUCCAUCUGAUUAUUCGUCCAUCACCAUAAUUUCUCUCUUUUGCAUCUAUCAAUCGCGGCCCCUGUUUCUGAUUUCUGUCGAUCUCUGGAAUUAAGAGCUCGCGGUGUUUUACUAUGUUUUAAUCCACAUUAAAAUUUGAGGUGAGAAAUAGGAUUCUAACUAUCGAAGCUUCCUUUUCUCCUAGCAUUCGAAAUCAACUCUUAAUUUUCUUCAAUUUGUUGGAUAUUCCCACACCAUGAGGUAAUCGAACAUGCUCUAUUCUCACAUCAUGUCUAAAAGCAAUUCUCAAAGCACAAAAUAUGCUGCUAGUGCCUCUAUUGCAAACGAAACCUGUGUUCCAUUCCAAGUUUGAUUUGAACAUCACAAUAAAUCAAACCCUGCAAAGUUUGACUCGAUGACCGACUCAUUUUGAAAUGAGGGCAAGAGGACAUUGACGAAUGAACAAGACUAGAAGAAACUUCUGCUUUGUUUAAGUACCAAAUGGCACGUACAUAAUGAGGGAAUUGUGCAUCAAAAUCACAGAGGCCAGUCAGGUGAGAAGCAAGCAAUAAAACAGCAGUUGCUUAAGCAGAAAACAAAAAAUGACUGAAUAAACGAGGAUUUAUGACAAUUGCAUUGCUGCAAAUCAUUGAGCUCAAUUGUGCAGGCAAAGAGGCUAUUUUGCAUUCCAUAUACUCGUUGUAUAUGAGGAUGUAAACUCUUUGCGAAAAAAAAAAAAAAAAAAAGUUACACUGCGCGUUCCUCUUCCUCGGUGGGUAAAAGGAGAACUCCACCUUUUAUCUUUGCUUUUUUGAGUCCAUUUUUCUUCCCACGACAGACCUACCGACCCCACAAGUGAAAAUAUAUAAAAGACCAAAAGAAGACCCUCCUUCAUACAAAAUAUGAACAGACAGGCUAAGUUGCCAAACCGGUUAAAUUUAGAUAAUCGUCUCCAACAUAAAACAAAAUUAAUUUCCCCCACCCAAGAAAUCCAAAUUUGACUUGGACCAAAGCGCGUACCGAACUCCAACAAAUCAAAAUCCUUCAACCGGGUCGGUUUCAUACGCAGUUCAAACAGACAAAGCGCCCAUGUAGCUCUCUCUCUCUGUCUCUCUGUCUCUCUCUCUCUCUCUAAGCUGCUCCGCUCACUAUUUUCUUCUUCCCUUUUCCUCUCUUGCUUUCGGGCGCCCAUUCUCUCCCUUAUUCUGUUCUAUUCUUUCCGACGUGUCCGUCUCCCUCUCUCUUUUAUCUCUCUCCUUUGUCUCCUUAUGCCUCAUUUUCUUCUUCUUUGUCCCACAUGUUCCCCUCUUUUUGACUAUACUCUUCCAUUUCUCUCCCUCCUUUUUCUUUUCCUCAUUAGACAGUGAUUAGCGAACGAAGUUGCAGUCCAAUUUCUCCAUCAGCUUCAUUUUUUAAUCUUUUCUGAGGGCUAGUUGACACAGGUUAAGUUGAAAUAGAUGCUAUUGUUUUAGCAAUGUCUAGAGAUGGCGGCAACUUGUAGAAAUUCAUGAGGGUGGUGGCGUACCGUUCACAUGUUUGUCAUAAGCGAUUAGGCUUGAUGAAUGGACUAUAUUACAAUUCCAUGACUUUGGUCAAUUAUGUUGUUGUAUAAAAUUGCAUCAUAAGCAAAUGGUGUUCUCUUUUUCUGUUUCCUAAAUAGAAACACUUUUGUUAACAUGCGUGAUGCACUAGCUCUAAUUACAAAUUGGAAAGAAAAUGAGAUAUGAUAGUAUGUUGGACAUUGGAGUUCAUAAGGAUGUCAGUUUACAAGAUACAUGUUUCAAUAUUGAAGAAAUAAACUUACGUAUAAUAAUAAAGAGUAGAUAGCAAAGAUAAAAUGAAAUACAUUUUAGGACGAAUAUGAAUUGCAAUUUUUCUGUAUGAAACAUAUAUGCAAGAUUAUUUCUUAACGUAGUGUGAGAAGAAUCGGUACUACUAAGAGAAUAGUUCACAAAGUUAGGAGAAUUAUAGAGUAUAAUCAAUCGCAUGCUUAAGUGCUUCCCCAUAGUAAAUUAUACCUAAAACACUAAGAAUUAGUUCACAAAUCAAAAUACUUAAGUCACACCACAAAGAAAACGGAGGAUGGGAACUCUUUGCGAGGGGAAAAAAGAAAAGAAAAGAUCAUUGUGUGUUUCUCUUCCUCCGCGGGCUAAAAAAAGAACUCCAUCUUUUUCUUUUCCUUUUGCGCGGCUCUGCAGUUGAGGGGGAUGAGAAAAAUAAAACCCACCGGCUUUUCAUUUUUCUUCCUCCCACAAACCUACCGACCCUACAAGUACAUUUAAAAGACCAAAGGAUGCACCUCCUCUAUGCACAAUAUAAAUAGAGAGUCCAAAAAGUCAAACCGGUCAAAACUUAGAUAACCGUCUCUAACAAAGAAACAAAAUCAAGUAUCCAAAUUUGAUUAGAGUGUAGUGGAUAAUUUUUCAAGGGGCAGAAGUGCCGAUUUGGUAUAAACUGGUCGAGACUUAACAGGACCGUGGGACGCAGGUCAAAUCAGCACAAGAACCUGUUGGUAUAGGAACAGUAUACCCUCGGAUCAAAGCGCCACAUCAAAUUGGAACAAAUUAAAUUCCUUUCUCACCAAGCCAAAAAAAAAAAAACAGAGCCAAAUUCACCAAUUCUUAUACAUAAGUAGGGCCAUUUUAGCUAGUGAUAGUUAUAUGAGUGAAUUUGAUAUAAUUUAAGUUUGAUAUCCAUAAUUUGGACCGCAUCUGAAAGGUUCAACAUAAUUAUACUCUUUUCCCCCACCAUUGACUCAUCCUUUAUUGACAUCUUUCAUUGUUUCUGGCUACUUAGUCUUGCCAUUCAACACCUUAGACAAUCUUGGUUGUUGAUGGUGUAAGUAUCCUAACACUCUACAAUUCAAAGUUGUUUGUUCCGUUAAACUUUUCAAAUCUAUUUUUGCUCCAAUAUAAUUGCACCAAUAGUGUUUCUAGAGAUCGGUCAAACAAGCAAUAGCAUCAAAGCAAUUCCAGAAAAUCCUUUGUAAAAUAAUUCAGUAGUUAACAAAUUUUUGCAAUUAAUCAAAGCGAGAGAAUGAAACCACAGGAGAAAUCAACAAGCAACAAUAAAGAACACAAAAUGAUUUAUGUAUUUCGGUCCGAUGAUCCAUACUUAUUUCUUUGGAAGAGCCAACCGCAAAUAAUCUAUUACUUAAUUGGAGAAUUAUAGAGUUACAAUCUCUCCACAUACUUAAGAAUUUCCUAAUCCUAGAUUACACAAAAUCUUAUAGUAUUUAGUCUCACGCAAUUGUUCAAUAUAUAAAUCAUUAAAAAUUACCUCACGAAUUGAAACACUUAUGUAUCCACACAAAAAAAAAAAAAAUGCCUCAAUUAGAUGUCGAAUUUUCUGCACAAAUCACUGUGUUUCUUGCUCCUCUUAAAGACAGGAACUUUACUGUGUGGCCUUUUAGCUCUAUCUCUUGUGCAAAAUAGAGUCCUUCACUUUAUGCCUCAGUUAGGUCAAACCUUGGAUGUAUAUGUAAAAUCACCGCCCUUGGAUAUCUUCUUAACCAAAUCUUGGAUUAUAUAUCCAACAGAAAACCAAAUUAUAAUCGAAGGGCAGGCCAAAUCAAAGUCUAAAGACUUUUAACUUUAAGACUCAUAUCGAAACAUAAUUUGACAUUUUCCUCCACAAACCACAUUUUCAGAUGUUUCCAAGUGUUCGUGCUCGGUUAUAUAAACAAAAGGUGACCAAUUCAAGUGACGGAGAGGUGAAUAAAUCUACAAUGGCGAUCGAAUUCGGGAAUCUUGUGAAAUUGCGAGAAGCGUUGGAGUUUACUCAACGACGACGGGCGGUGAUGGGGUCUUUGCUCAACGGCGCACCCUUAUUUUAUUAUCGUCUUUACGCUCGCUCUUCUUUUCCCUUCUCUUUCUCUCCUUUGUUUUCUUGUGCCCUCAAUUUCUUCUCCCUUGUCCCACAUGUUCCCCUCCUUUUUUAAAAGGGUCAGGCUUUUCCCGCUCCUCAUUUGGCUUGUACAAGUCAUUCCACUGUGUUCUGACCAUAUUACCCCUUGCUUUUUCAAAUGUUAGCAUGCUCAAACGUGGUGCCCAUUGUUGUCCCUCUUUUUUAUUUGUUUCGUCUUCUACUUCCACUUUCUCCUCCUUCUUAGUCCGCCCAAGCACAGUCAAUUUAAGUUCUUUGUUUUGUUCUGCGUUUUUUUUUUUUUUCGUCUCUUUAGAAUUCUGGCAAUUCUUGUGCACCCCUAACUUAGACGAGAAAAAUCAUACUGAACGCCCAUUCCAUUAAUAACAUGACUUGGAGAAUCACUACGCCAAUCUUGCACAUUAUUAGUCGUUGGAGCCACCAAACAUUGAGUUUGCGCAUCAAAGCUGAAGCUGGACAAGUUGCUUGAGUAAUCAUUGACGGUGUCGGAGGUGUGGAGGAUCUAGGCCGGUUAGCGAACUCGGAGGUGUACUGGUGGUAGUGGGUGGGGGAAGAUGGAUGGCUUGGAAUGGGAGUCCACGCAGAUGAUUGCAGGUCUUCGCCGUUUUGAUUAGACGAACAUUGGACAUAUAGAAGAAGAAAAAGAAGCAAAGCGAGAGAGCGACGUCGUUUUAAAGUAUCUGGAAUUGGCGGAGCGGAACAAAAAAUUGGGAAAAAGAGAAAAAGAGGACUGGCUAGGUGGAUGACGAAAUGGACGGCGUGUCUUUUUAUGGGUGCCCAUAUCAAUGGGAAAUGUUGAAUCUUUUUUUUUUUUUUGUUAAUAAGUAAUUGAUUAAAUGAACUAAUUAAUUUAAUAAAAAAUGAUUAGUUUAUUUUCCCCUCCUUUCAAGCAAUGUUGGACGGACGAACUUACCUCAAAAUUGAUAUGCUCACGCAUGUGAAGACUGAUGUCAUAUUCACAAGGAUGAUGUCAUCCACGUCCAACGAUAUAAGUAUAAUUAUUAUGUAAUCACAUAAGAUUACAUAUAAUUGGAUAAGUACACUGGUGGGCAAAUGUUUGUUGAACCUAAAUAUGUAUGUGGAUGUGAAACGAAACUUUUAGGAUAAGAUCUUUACCAAAAAAAAAUUAGGAUAAGAUUAUUUUUAGCAAUCAAACUCUUAGUGAAUGUUUGAAGUUGGUCGUCAAAUUUCAACUUUUGUUCAAAUUGAUCCUAGUACUCUUUUAGGUGGUCUCCAACUCUCCAUGGUCAAGUAAUUUUAAUUGGUCUUCCCAAAGAAAAGCGUACGUGGCAGCAUUUCUUUUUUUGUUUUUUCCUGAUGGAGAAUGCAAGAAAGCCGAUCUUUGCAAUUAGAAGGUGACUUUUUGAGCUAUUUAUAGGUCUACAAGUACAUGUCAUCUUUAGAGACAAUACUUACAAGUGUCCAUGUACACAUAUAUAAAAAAUUUCUUCAGUAAUCCAUAGAUUUAGAACCUUUAGAAGAAAGAAUGUUACUUAAAAAAAUAAAUAAGCUAGGCAGAACUUAUUUAUAUUUUCUAUUGCGUAUAUAUUUUCUCAAUUUAACUUUAAUUUACAUGUGAAACAAAAAAAAAAGGAAAUUUGCUCCAGAAUCCAAUUUUUUGCAUUUUUUGUACUGCUAAUUUCCUUAUAACAUGUCUUUAGAUUAAUACAAUCAAGACAAAAACAUAGUUACAAGUUUACUUUUGCCAUAUUUUCGGAAUCAUGAGUAUAGUAUUAUGAUGUAUUUUCUUCCUCUUAUCAGUAUUUCAACUCUUAAAUUAUUAUAUUCAUCUAAGAAGUUAUAAAUAUUAUUAUUCAAACGACCUUUGACUCCUCCCUUGUAUCACAUUUCCUUUACCAUAGGUUAUUCAUAAUUGAAAACUUGCAAGAAAAUAUAUAUCCGAGUGAAGUGUGCAUCAAGUAAUUAACCAAAAAACCAUAAAAACAAAAAUGGAGCUAGUGUCGUUGCGUGGGCAGUUUUCUAAUGAAGUUACUAAGCUGCAAGUAAUGGUUUGCUGAAUGGGAUCAAUUGUUAUGGGUUUGGUUUGGCUACCCAGCCUAGUCUGAUGAUGAAUUGAACUUAACCUGCCCGUCCAAAAACAAGAAAAAAAAAAGUUGAAUUUCGGAAUAUUUUCGAGCUUGACCCGGGUCAAACGUCCUUCUCUGUUAACUUUAGGCAUCGGAUGCCGAUCCAGGCCGAAAGCUCGUAUAUCCGGAUCUUGCAUGUGGGCGCGGGUCCAUUUCGAGGAAGAGAACUUUUGAGGGAUUCCUUGAGAUCGGUUUGUGCAUUCACAUAUGAUUUCUACUUUCUAACCCUAACGAAGAGUUUGAUGAUGAAUUGAAUUUAACCUACCAGUAAAAAAUCCAAGAAAAAAAUUUGAAUUUCGGAAUAUCUUUCGAGCUUGACCGGGUCAAACGUCCUUCUCUGUUUACUUUAAGCAUCGGAUGCCGAUCCAGGCCGAAAGCUCGAAUAUCCAGAUCUUGCGCGUGGGCGUGGGUCCAUUUCAAGGAAGAGAGCUUUUGAGGGAUUCCUUGAGGUCGGUUUGUGCAUUCACACAUGAUUUCUACUCCUAACCCUAAAGAAGACGCAGCUCCAAGUCCGAGCAGGCAAAAACCAGAGCAAGACAGAGAGAACUUUUGCGAGGAAAGCCCCACAAAAACAUGGCAGCAACCGGUGGUUCCAGCGCGUUGGCGACCCGGUACGACGUGUUCUUGAGUUUCAGAGGGCCCGACACUCGCGACACCUUCACCGACUGCCUCUACCGAACCAUGAUCGGCCAGGGGAUCGCUGCUUACAGAGACAGCGAAGAGCUUCACGCCGGUGAUCGGAUCGACGAUCUCCUGAGAGCGGUCGGCGAAUCCAAGAUCUGCAUACCGAUCCUCUCCAGAGGCUAUGCUUCGAGCGCUUGGUGCCUCCGCGAGCUCGCUCGAGUGACGGAGCUCCAUGAAUCGACUGGGAAGCCGGAGAUCCUACCCAUCUUCUUUGAUGUCAUCCCCACCGACGUCAAGCUCAGGACGAAACUGUACCUCAAGGACUUAAAGAAGCAUGAGCAGAGGCACGGUGCCGAGAUCAGGCAACGGUGGGAGGCGGCUCUGGGAAAAGUGGCUGAGAUCAAGGGAUGGGAAGUCCAAGGGAAAGCGUAAGUAAAUGCUUAUUUAUGGAACUUUUUGCAAGCUUCAGUCCAAAUGCUAUUCUCUUAUUGUUCUUGUAAAUGGCAGUGAAAACUAGCUGGAGGGGUGUAUGUUGUUGAAAUAUAUUGGUUGACGUGGCAUGUACAAACCGGUUUUUGGUAUAUGAGCAAUAAAUUUCAUUUCUCACCGGGGAGGAAAAAACAGAGGCAAUUCGCUAAUUCUCAUACAUAAGCAGGGCCAUUUGACUAGUGACAGUUACAUGAGUGAAUUCGAUCUAAUUCUGGAAUGAAGUUUGUAAUUCGGACUGCAAAUGAACAUCUUCUUUCUCAGAAAUAGGGUCAAAUUGUAAGUUUAUCGUACCAAUCAUAUCCUAUGGAGUCUAUUACACCAAAAUUCUUGUGGCUCUAUAGAAUUUGUCUGAGACUUAAAAAUAGUGAUCCAACUCAAAUACUAUCUGCUAGGAAGUAGUAGUGAGAUUGUUAUUUGUUUUCUUUAACUAAAAGUGUUUGGUAUGUGGCAGACAAGGUGAAGUCAUUGAACGCGUUGUGAAAGAGAUUUUGCGUAAGCUGAAAGUAAAACAAAGACCUUUGGACAACAAAUUGGUUGGGGUAGAAAAACAAGUAGAAGCCAUAAUGGAGUUGUUAGAUGUUGACUCUGGCACGGGUGUGCGUUUUGUUGGAAUCCAUGGAAUGGGCGGGAUCGGUAAAACCACUCUUGCUAAGAAUGUUUUCAAUGAAUUAUGUCUUCAGUUUGAUGGCCAAUGCAGCUUCAUUGGGAACAUCCGAGAAUCAUCAAAAGGAAAUGGCCUAGUGAAUCUGCAGAAACAGUUGGCAUCUGACAUCUCUGAUUCUAGAUUUGUAGAAAAUUUUGGUAACACCGAUGAAGGGAUAGACAGCAUAACAAGGAGAGCUAGUUCUAAAAAAGUUCUCAUUGUUCUAGAUGAUCUAGACAAGAAAGAACUACUUAAGAAACUAGUGGGGGGGCCUAACACUUUUGGUUCUGGGAGUAGGAUUAUCAUAACAACAAGAAAUAGAGGGAUUCUGGAUGAAGAGAUGGGAAUCUUACCUUAUGAAGUAAAGCAAAUGGAUCAUGAUAAAGCGCUGGAGCUUUUUAGUUUGCAUGCCUUUAACAAUGUCUCUCCUCCCGAUACUCAUCAAAGUCUCUCUCGGAAAGUUGUAUCUACGACCGGGGGACUCCCAUUGGCUCUUGAAGUAAUAGGUUCCUAUCUUCAUCACCAAAACGAGGAGAUAUGGAAAGAAAUGCUAGAAAGGUUGAAGAAUAUACCUCAUGAUGAAGUUUGGGAUAAGUUGAAAAUAAGUUAUGAUGCAUUACGGGAGGAGGAAAAAGAAGUUUUUCUUGAUAUUGCAUGCUUCUUCAUAUCUGGAAAGAAAUUAUGGGCAGCCUAUUUCUGGGAUGCUUGCCAUCUUUACCCCCAUAAGUCAUUGAAAAAACUUACCGAUUUGUGUCUAAUUAAAAUUGUUGAGGGUGAUACUAUAUGGAUGCAUGAUCAAUUGAGAGACCUUGGAAGAGACAUUGUUAAAAAAGAAUGUACCCUUAGUAGGUUGUGGAAUGACAAAGAAGCUUUGGAAGUAAUGAGAUCAAAAGAGGUAAGGUAAAAGUAGGAUCCAUACAUUAUCCACCGUGAAAUUAUUUUCCCACUUCCCAUUUAAGAUAUUCCUUUUAGGCAUUCUAAAGGACAAAUUUAAUGUUUGCAAGCUCAUACUCAUUGAUGGUUUCUAUUGGCAGAGAAAGGACAAAAUUAAAGCACUCAAUUUAGGUCAAUAUAAUUCGGAUCCCAUCAGCAUUGUGGAUGAAGAACUUGAGAGGAUGCCAAAUCUAAAAUUUCUCAAGUUAUAUAGAGGGACUUUUGUUGGAGACAUCAACAAUAAUCUCCAAGAGCUAAGAUGGCUUUCUUGGCGUUGUCCUCCUUUAGAUCCUGGAAUGGCCAAUUUACACUUGAAAAAUCUAGCAGUUUUCGAACUUUCAUACAAUAAAAACACCGACAACUGGGGUGGAUGGAACAUUUUGAAGGUGUGAAUUUGUACUUUUGUUCUCUUAACAUAGACAUAGUAUUCUCUGUUUUAUCCUCUCUGAUAAUAUUUCAGUGACCUUUGCAGAUGGAAAACAAAUUGAAAGUUCUUUCUCUCUUCAAUUGUGAUGGAUUGAAACAGACUCUAGACUUUUCUAGAUGUGUGAGUUUGGAGAUACUCUCUCUUUCUCACUGUCAAUCCUUGCAAGAAGUUGACUUUAUUGGGAAACUAAAAGAUCUUACUCACUUGAAAAUUAAUUGGUGCGGAAAUCUUCGAAAUUUCCCGAAAGAGAUUGGAGGACUAGUGAAUCUGAAGCACCUUUCUCUCGACGGGUGCUCCAAAAUCAAGAAACUUCCAGACAUCGGGAAAUUAGCAUCAUUGUCUAAGUUGGAUAUAGCACGAACAAAAAUUACAAUUUUACCCGAUUCUAUUGGCAAUGCAAAGAAGCUAUCAUCCCUUGAUCUAUCAGGGACGUCAAUUGCGGAACUUCCAAUUUCUAUUGGAGAGCUUAUACAACUCGAAUUCCUUUCACUCUCUGGUUGUCAUAAUUUUGUGGAGCUUCCAGAAUCAAUAGGUUAUUUGACAAAAUUACAGAUGUUGGAUCUCUCAGGGACAAAAAUUAUUGAGUUACCUAAUUCGAUAAAGAAUCUCAAGCAGUUGAAGGUGAUGAGGAUGGCAUUCUGUCCAAUACAGAGGUUGCCAGCCGGUAUUGGAAUGCUAGAGAGCAUGGAGGAGCUCAAUGUCCGAAAUUGUCAACAACUUGCGGGCGAACUCCCAACUGCAAUUGGCGAACUAUUGUCUCCAAGUAUCCUAGACAUAUCGCAAACUAGUGUUUGUGCAGUCCCAUCGACGACAAUUAAUUCCCUUACGCAACUCCAAGAGCUGGAUCUAUCAUUUUGUAAUGAGCUUCAAGAGCUGCCAGAACUUCCCUCGAGUUUGAAUUGCCUACGUGUUAGAUCGGCAUCAUUGCAGUUAGUUCCGGAUCUUAGUUACCUCACGAAUUUGGUGGUUUUGGAACUGUCCAACAACUCUGGACAAGCACUUGCCCAAGCAUCAACUCUUCAAUUGCAAUGGGUUGGGAAGUUAUCUAAGCUGGAGCGGUUGGAGUUGUGCCUUUCAGAUCUUCCCGUGCCGUCAACGGAGUUGGGUUGCCUACCUCGACUUAAAAAACUCACCUUACCUUGCAUGGAUAGUUUCGAUUCGGUAGUCGUUGGACCACAAUUUUCGCACUUGAAAAAUUUGUCCACAUUGCAUCUUUGUCGCUGUCCACUGAUGGAAAUUCAACUAGAUGGGCUUGAACUAUUGGGAGAUUUGACUGUGACAUACUGCGAGUUUCUCGAGGGAUUGUCAGUUAUUUCAUCGAGCUUGAGGAAGCUCUCUAGAAUGGAAGUUAGAAAUUGCCCAAAGCUAAUUCGAUUUCUCAGUAUGAUGGAAUCAUUGGAGCAUCUCGAAGUUGGUCACUGCAAAUCCUUAGGAGGGUUGUACGGUUUAUCAAACUUGAAGAAGCUGAAGUUUUUAACAUUCAUCAGGUGCCCUGUGCUACGGGUUAUGGAGGGCCUUGAAGAAUUGGAUCAUUUGCAGCACUUGGAAUUCGGCACGUGUCCAUCGUUGAAAGUGUUGACUAAUCUAUCCAACUCAAAGAUACCAAAUAAAUGCAGGAUAGAUGUAUGGGAUUGCGAGAAGUUACCAGAUUGCUAUGGUGGCUGUUACGGGGAUUACAGAAAGGAGAUUCUUGAGUGGACGAGGAGGGGAUUAAACCAGGUGCGCCUUCCUUCUACCCUUCACUUAUUUUUCAAAUUUUAAUUUUUCGGAGACGCAGGUGGUAGGCAUGAGUUUUAUUUCCCUUGUUCCGUUUACUUUCAUCUCUCUCUCUCUACGUUCCGCAAACAACUGCAUCCUGUCAUUCUUUCUCUGUUAACGUUUCUCAAUACUCGGCCUUCCUCCUUUCAGGAGGGUGCGGCACAGUUCUUGGAACGCGGCCAACCGCUCAUCGUACAGGUAUGGUCUCUUCUACGGACCCAAAAUUCUUCUCGCGUUGGUGAAGUGAGAAAAUUUUUUUUCUCAAAUUUGUUGUAUGAAAAUUUUAUCUUUUGUGAACUCAAUAUAUUCUCAAAUAUCAAAGAGCUGUAUUGCAAAAUGAAAUUAAGGUCGUUUUCAGAAAAUAAGUUGCAGUCUCUAGAGAUCUUUGUGCUAAAAUGAAAAUAAAAAAUGUUCCCUAAAACCAAAUUAACUCGAAAUUUUCUUUCAAAUAUGGGGCAAUCCGUAAGCAGAGAGAUGAGUUUAAGGUAGAAGAUAGAGAUCCUAAAAUAUCACUCGAGUCAAAUUAAAUUUCAAUUACAGAAUUUUUUCCUAUAGGGAGUAGCCUCGUUAAACUAGACAUGUAGAUGCACUUUGUGACUAGUCUAGAAGGUAGACACCUGAGAUGAUUAUUAACUCUUUCACAUGUCAACCAUAUAAUUAUGAGUGUAGUUAUUUCUUACACUUGCAAUUGAUGUAAUAAAGAUCCUUCAUAUGAACAAGAAAGUGAUUGUGUCAAUAUUUCCCCAACCAAAGAUAAAAAUCUCUCACGCGGGCACAAAAGUAGAAGCUCAAAUGUAGUUAACUGUUCGAAUAAAUUUCUUUUAAAUAACUAAACUUUCCCUUCAUAUUUUAAAUGAAAAAAUAAAUAUAUAGAAACGAAUAUAUAAUUAAUGUAUUUGAGGUGUUACAAUUGGGUGAGCCACGAGAAAAGGAAUAGUAGUGAAAAAAGAUACACCAAAAAUAGAGUUAGUUUAUAUGCAAUAGCCGCUUGCCAACAAUGUUCUACUUAUCCUGCUACACCUAUUAGACUAACUAUAUGGUUUGGCAUUCUCCAUUAGAAGGCAAGCAUGUUAAAUAGUACAACUCUAUCAUUUGCCCUAAUUUUACAUAUUGCUUGAUAUUACAAUUUUUUCUUGUCAAAGGAUUUAUUCAAGUUUUCUAUUAAAUAAAAAGAAUUCUGUGAAAAAUAGAGGUGCCUAUACAAAACUUAAUAUUCAUGAUGUCCGUUUAUCUAGCAAAACAUAUUGUUUUCUUUUCCUGAUAGCUGAAUUUAAUUAGAGUGAAAUACGAAGUAGUCAAUAAAAUUUGAGUGAAAUAUGUACAUACUUCAUGGAUAUUGAAUCAAUAUACUGCUAAAUCGUUGGAUAAUUUCAUCAAGUUCUCUUUUAUGAAUACAUGUCAAAAGCUUAUAAAACCAGGGACUUUUGGUGGAGACGUCAACAAUCAUCACCUGAAGCUAAGAUGGCUUUCUUGGGGUUUUCCUCCUCUAGAUUGUAGAAUGGCCAAGUUGCACUUGAAAAAUCUAGUAAUUUUCGAACUUUCACACCAUAGAAACACAAAAAACCGGGGUGGAUGAAAAGUUUUGAAAGUCUGAAUUCAUGCCUUUGUUCUCUCAACAUAGUAUUUUUUUUCUUUAAACCCUCUCCGAUAAUGUUUCAACUACUUUUGCAGAUGUUAAUAAAAUUGGAAGUUCCUUAUUACACGUUACCUAAAUUUUAUGAAACUUUCGUAACAUUGAAAUGGACUGGUUACCCCAGUUUGGAGACAUUGUAUUUUCACUAUUGUCUAAACUUGCGAAAAUUUGACUCCUCUAUUGGGAAGAUGAAAGUUCUUACUCACUUGGACAUUAUUCGGUGUACGAAUCUUCGAACUUUGCCCGAAGAGAUUGGAGAACUGGCGAAUUUGACGCACUUCUCUAUCAAAAAGUGCUCUCAAAUGGAGAAACUUCCACACUCUAUAGGGAAAUUAGUAUCAUUGUCUAAGUUGGAUAUAUCAUCCUCAAGAAUUACAAGUUUACCUGAUUCAAUUGGCAAUGCAAAACAUCUGUCAUUCCUAAAUCUAUCAGGCACACCAAUUGUGGGACUUCCAAUUUCCAUCGGAGAGCUUAUGCGACUUGAGUUUCUUUCACUCAAAGAUUGUCGAAAUUUGGGGGAGCUUCCAGAAUCAUUAGGCAACUUGACAUCAUUACAGAAGUUGAAUCUCUCAAGGACAAACAUUGUUGAGUUACCUAAUUCGAUAAAAAAUCUGAAGCAACUCAAGGUGAUGAGGAUGGGAUUUAGUCCAAUAAGGAGGUUACCUGCCAGUAUUGAAAUGCUAGGGAAGUUGGAGGAACUCUAUGCCGAACAUUGUGAACAAUUUGCAGGCGAACUUCAGACUCAAAUUGGCAAACUAUUUUCUUUAAGUGUCCUCGACAUUUCAUAUACUCGUGUUAGUGCAAUGCCGAAGGCAAUCGAUUAUCUCACGCGACUCCAAAAGCUGGAUUUGACACAUUGUAAUGAACUUCAAGAGUUGCCAAAGCUUCCCUCGAGUUUGCGUUGUCUACGUGUUCACUCGGCAUCAUUGCGGUCAGUUCCCGAUCUCAGUAACCUCACGAAUCUAGUAGAAAUGCUUUUGUCUAAUGGCUUUGGACAAGCUCUUGCCCAAUCAUCAAACCCAAUGCAAACUUUCCAAUUACAAUGGGUUGGAAAGUUAUCUAAGCUAGAGAAGUUGAGCUGGGGCCUUUCAAAUUUUCCCAUUUCGUCAAUAGAGUUGGAUUGCCUACCUCGACUUAGAGAACUCACUUUAUCUAGCAUGGACAAUUUUGACUCAAUAGUUGUUGGACCACAAUUUUUCAACUUGAAAAAUUUGUCCAUAUUGUGCCUUCAUAGUUCUCCACUGAGGGAAAUUCAAUUGGAUGGGCUGAAUUAUUGAGAAAUUUAGGUGUGAGAG